AAAAUCUAGGUUUUAAAAAAAGUUGUGUGGGGGGUAGUAUGGGGGAAGAGUUUUGGAGCCUCUUGAUAAUCGAAUUUAAGUUAUAUACAUUAUCGCGAUAAUCACAAUAUUAUACUUAAUCAUAGAUUUAAAACUUAUAAACUAACAGUGUAUCGAAGUUAUACGUUUCUUAAAUUUACCUAUUUUUAAAUAUGUUGUGGGGGUGGGGUGGGGGAGGGGUAGCAUGGGGAAAGAGUUAUUGUAUUAUACAUCAAAUUUUUGUACAUAUUUUGCCAGCUAUUAAAGGGGCCUGCAAUCUUUGCUGAAAACAUGGGAAACAUUAUUGACAAAAGAAUAUUUCUUUGAAUAUUAUGCCUUUGUAUUCAUCUCAAACUUUGACCACCAGAUGGAGCAUGGAUUUAACUAGUUCAGUAUUUUCGAUACGAAAUAUAAAUAAUAAAGUCCGAAGCAAAGACAGAUGACAAUUAUUACACGGUAAAAUUUAGCAAGUUAUGAAAAAUUAAUAUAAGCUUCUUAUAAAAUAGAAUAGGAAUAAUAAGAAUUAAUCAACAGAUCGUGUGUCGAUGAGAUUAAGUAUCGUUCUAUUAUUUCAGACAUAAUUUAUUGUAUUUUCACUGUAGUUGGGAUCUAUAAUCUUGCAAAGAAUGACCCCUUUCCUUUUCUGGCAAUAAUUUAAUUUUAACUUUUCACGUGGCAUGUUUAAGACCACAAGAUUAAAGGACAUUUUGUUACAUUCGAUGAAAUUUUAAUUCAGAACCACAAGAUUAAAAAAUUCUUCUUUCUUUUCUUAAACUUUGUUCCAAGUCAAAUUAGAUAUAUCAUUUUUUAAACGCGGGAAGUAUUUGAUAAAUGAUCAAAUAAUAAUUAAAGUAUUGGAUGUACUAUUGGUCUUGGAAUAUUUUAUUUAUUAACUAGGCAAUUCUUCAACAUUUAGGUAUUUCUAGGUAGAGAAAAAAAAUGUAAUUUUAUGUACCAAAAACAAAAGACUUUUGUCAAGUCAAAUCAUCAAAUUUUGUUUUAGCGUUGUUUAAAUGAGAAAAAAAAGAGAAAAUAAAAUAAAAAAUCAUUUAGUUUGUGUCUAAUUUUUUACGUAGUAAAAAAUCUAGUUUUUUAUUUGCAUCUAUAUUAUUUUUACAAAGAAAAUAAAGUCUUUAACUUAUUUAAAACGUGGCUCAAAAAUAAAAAUUGACAUGCAUUUCUUUGACUUUGUUAGAAUAUAUAUUAUUUUUUUUAUACAAAAACGAAUACAAAUGUCUUAUUUAUGAAAUUUUUGUUUUUAUUUUCCCUUUCUAGUAGGGGAAAUUCAUCAAUUUUGGUGUUUUUUUAAUUAACAGAAAUCUAAAUUGUUUAUUUAAUAUGCCAAGUUAUAUUUGCUUUAAAAUUGUUUAAUUGUUUCCCCCUUUUAUUAUAAGUAUAUAAAAGAAUUUCAAUUGGACACUUUUAAUUUAAAUUUCAAAUUCUUUUUACAUAUGUUUUUAUUUAUCUAUUAGUAAUUUAAGUUUAUCAUAUAAAAUAUUUCAUCUCUUUAGUUCAUCAAUCUUAAGUAAAAAAUGUUUGAAAUUUUAGGACUUAUCAAAGCGAACACAACAUAAUUACAUGAGACAAGUAUCAAAAACAACCUUGUACUUGACUAACUAAACUCAGAUACACCCCCGAUACACUCUCAAUACGUGAAAUAACAUGUGUCUCAAACCCUUUUAGGAGCAUGAAAUUCUUAAUAAAAGUCGAGAGAAGUGUUGAAAAUACUCCUAAACUUGACGAGAAUUUAGGGGUUCUCACUGAUGUUACAAGUUCGGGGAUGUAUUUAACUUCAAUUAGUCAAGUAAUAAAGGGGUGUUUUAAAGGUUUUCAAUAGUUCAAGGAUGAAACUAAUAAUUUGUGCCAAGUUCAAGAGUGCUUUUGACACUUCUAUCUAAUUAGUUCAACGCAUAUACGUAAAACUACUAGAUAAAUAAGAACAAACACACAGAAAAAAAUUCAAAAUUUAACUGAAAAUGUUCUAUCACUGUGUUUUUAUUAAGAAACAGAAGUGUUCAAUUUAAACAAAACUUAAAUUUAAGUCAUUUAAUUACAAUUAACCAAUAAUAAUUAUUUAGUACAUAUCAUAUUAUUAUAUAUUUAUUGAUAUGAUGUAAAUAUCUCGUCAUAUUUUAUUGUAUUAAUUUUUUUAAAAAAAUCAUUAAGGUUUUAUUUUUUUUUCACCAAGUGAAAAUGACUAUUUUACCCUCUUUAUACAUAUCUUUGUUUUGGUAAAACUCCUUCCCCAUAUCUUCAGGAACAUUCUUAGUUAUCUGCCUCGGAACCUCCGAAUUUUAUAAUCUUAUAGGUAGAAGUGAAGAAAAAAUCAGUAAAAAUUCUGAGAAUUUGAGGUAAUUUUUUAUUGUGAUUAUAUAUGAUUUCCUGAACUUUUUUUUAUUGAUUUUUUGUUUAUUUUCUUGUGCCAUUUUGGUGUAAUUUGUCAAUUUUAUGUAGAGUUUUGCUAUAUUUGAUGUUCUUUGUCUGUGUUAGGCUAAAGGGGGUUCUUGAAAAAUGAAAAGAAGAAUAAAGUUUGAAUCUUUUCAUUUGAUUAUUCAAUUGAAGGCUGUAUUUACCACAAAGAAAGUUAAUUUAUUUAAGGGGUUAGCUUGAUUUGUGAUUUCUUCCAAUGUGUUCAAGCUUUGGUGGAUAGGGUUACUUGGUACCUAUAUUGGUGGGAGGUAGUAAGUAGCGGGGGAAUUAAUCGAGGUGCGUGCGAGCUGGUUCAGACACCACAAAGAAAGUUAAUUUAUUUAAGGCAAUGUGUCUAAGCUUUGUUUGGUGGAUACUGAAUAGGGUUACCUGGUACCAAUGAUGGUGGGAGGUAGAAGGCACCUGUGGAACUAAUCGAGGUGUGUGCAAGCUGGUCCAGACACCACAAAGAAAGUUAAUUUAUUUAAGGCAAUGUGUCCAAGCUUUGUUUGGUGGAUAGGGUUACCUUGUAAGGAUGCUGGUAGUAGGGUACCCGAGGAAUUAGUCGGUUGCAUGCAAGUUGGCGUAGACAUCACGAUAUUUAAAAAAGAAAGAGGAUAUCCCAUUCCUAGCAGCCUUAACAGUUGACUGUGGCAGAAUUCUCUCUCUGCUGUUGGUCCUUUUAGGAUUUCUGCAGAACUGUUCAAUUACACUUCGAGGUAUCUCACGCGAAAUGUUAGGACGUAUGUGUCUAGUUGUUUCAACUUUAUACAAUCAGGUGCAUACCCAAAGUUGGAAGGCAUAGAUGUUAGCUGAUGCCAAGUUAAAGGGAAACGUUUAUUUAUUAUGUCUAAUAUGAAUGAUACAGUGAAUACUUACACUUUUCCUGUCAUCAAUCUUUCAAAAUCGCUGAUGCUGUAUUUUUCCUGUCUUUUCUGCUGAGCUGAAUAGUUGGCUUAUAUGUUUUACUGGUGUUCCGUGCAUAUGAGAUGAUUUAGUACAGUUGUUUGCGAAUGUAAACAUUUCAAAACGUGUCUUCUAUAGCUUGAUUUGGAUAAUAAAUGUAUGAACUUGGAUGCAUUGUUUGUUAAACAACUUAUUUGACUAUUUUUCUUUGUUAGGCUCAAACUCCUUUUCGAUGAUUUUACACUAGUCGGAAAUUUCUUUCUUUUUCCCUGGUUUAGGGGGUCGUGAAGCAAUGAACUCCCUUUUCUUUUAAUUUUUUCGACAAAUCUUAUUAACAACCGAAAAAUAGACUUUGCUGGUUUCUAAGAGUGAAGUUUUAAAGUGUCCAUUUGGGGACAUCCGAUGAAAUUGGAACAAUAAGAGUAAAUGCUUAAGUAGAUCAUUAUAUACUGUGUUUGGUAGAGAGUGUUCACAACAUGUUUUAGAAUGUAGAAUAAGUGCGACACUAAGUAACCCGUUGUUCAUCUAUUCGUUGUGGUUUGCAAUAAAUAUUCAUCGAUUAUCAGUGUAAAAAACUCCUGAAUUUCCUCCCAUGUAUGUUCUAAAAUCGUGUCUUACAAUGCAUAGAAGAAAUUAAUGUCAGCGAUCCUUUUUGCAGUCGGUGAAAUGGCAGCAGCAUCAGCAACUACUCUCUCAGUUGGUUCCGCCACAUCCUUUGGCUCCAUAGUGAGCCCAAAAUUACAAUCAAAGGCCUUUAUUGCGAAAUGCAAUACCAGGGACUACCUUAGGAGUUUCAGUGGCCUUAAGGCAGAGGCAUUUGUACGAUGUGAAUCCGAGUCGUCAUUUCUAGGAAAUGAAAGCAUUGCAGCUCUUCGACAAUCCAUUACUCCUAAAGCCCGAAACCAAAAGCAGAGAUCUUCGAACCAUGUUCAGCCUCAAGCAUCUUAUAAAGUGGCUGUUCUCGGAGCCUCUGGCGGUAUAGGCCAGCCUCUAGCUCUUCUGAUUAAGAUGUCACCGCUAGUAUCAUCGUUGCACCUUUAUGAUAUUGCAAAUGUCAAAGGAGUCGCAGCAGAUCUCAGCCAUUGCAACACUCCCGCUCAGGUUUUUGACUUUACGGGAGCUUCUGAGUUGGCCAAUUCUUUGAAAGGUAUAGAUGUAGUUGUCAUACCAGCUGGCGUUCCGAGAAAGCCUGGUAUGACACGGGACGACUUGUUCAACAUAAAUGCUAAUAUUGUGAAAAGCUUGGUUGAGGCUGUUGCUGACAAUUGCCCAGAUGCCUUUAUCCACAUUAUCAGCAAUCCAGUCAACUCCACAGUGCCGAUUGCUGCCGAGGUUCUGAAGCAAAAGGGUGUGUAUGAUCCUAAAAAACUCUUUGGUGUUACCACCCUGGACGUUGUCAGAGCAAACACAUUCGUCGCGCAGAAGAAAAACCUGAAACUCAUUGACGUUGACGUCCCCGUGAUUGGUGGGCAUGCAGGGAUAACAAUUCUGCCAUUGCUGUCAAAGACAAGACCAUCAACUACUUUCACGGACGAAGAAGUGCAGGAACUAACCGUGAGGAUCCAAAACGCUGGGACCGAGGUCGUUGAAGCAAAGGCUGGAGCAGGAUCUGCAACACUGUCAAUGGCAUAUGCUGCAGCUAGAUUUGUUGAAUCCUCACUUCGUGCCCUUGACGGUGAUGCUGAUGUUUACGAGUGUUCUUACGUUCAAUCUGACCUGACGGAACUUCCAUUCUUUGCAUCACGAGUUAAACUAGGAAGGAAUGGAAUCGAGGCAUUGAUUUCGUCUGAUCUCCGUGGAUUAACUGAGUAUGAACAGAAGGCAUUAGAAGCUCUAAAGAUAGAGUUGAAAGCUAGCAUUGAGAAAGGGAUAGCUUAUGCUCAAAAACAAACAGUGAGUGCUUAGAGAAAGAGUUUAGUUUAGAUUAACUAUAGGAAAAGAUUCUCAACAUGACAAUUUUUGCAUGGUUUGAACUUACUAAGCCCUUUAUUCUUUUUAUUGGUCUGAACUCUACUAGUGUUUUGUUAUUGCUUCCUUUUCAUCUCUAGUCGAGGUUUAUCAGAAACAAUCUCUCUACCCCUGUGAGGUUAGGGAGAAGGUGUUCGAGAACUCUAUUCAAGGUUUAUCAGAAACAAUCUCUCUAUCCCUGUGAGGUUAGGGAGAAGGUGUUCGAGAAAGCACCGACUACAGGUGCUCAUUGAGUCGGUCCUCCGGUGGAUAAAAGUAUCUGCAAACACUUUACCCUCUUCAGACUUUUUCGACUUUAAAAUUUCAUAUAUGAAAGUCUAGAAUAGUUAUUGGUGGCUAUUUUUGAAAAAAAUAAUAAUCUAGAAUAGAAGUGGAUGAUUAAAUUUUUUCCCCCCAAAAAUCUCCUUAAAAUUUAAUAGAUAAAAGUUGUUAACAUGUCAUAUAAAUGGAGAUAAAUUAAAAAUGCUAAAUUUUUUAAUAUUUAAUAAAUCAAAAUCACUCAAAAGCAUAUUUAAGGAAUUAUUUUAAAUCUACUCGAGUCUCCAAUAUAAGUUAUUUCUUUUGUCAUAUUGUCUAGAAAAUUUGUAUGUCCAUUUUAUCUCAAGUGUUUCGUAUAUUCACAUUUUUUGGAGGUCUAUGUAUUUGGUUCAGAUUGUGAAUCGGACUUUCUUAUUCAUGAUUUUGAUAAUUAAACACUUAAACUCGAUGAACCCAACAUAUUAAACUCCUCUAUGAGAGUAUGACCAAGAAAGAUAUGACUCGCUUGCCAGUUAUACAAAUAUAUGCGUAUACCAUUUACAUAUAUACUAUAAUCCGACAGAUAUACAUAUACAAUUUGUCUCUCCACUCUCUGCCUAGUCUCGCUCAUCUCUCUCCUCCCUCUCCCAAUCUCGAUCGCUAAAUACACAUAUAUAUAAUCUGACAGUUAUACAUAGACAAUUUGUCUCUCCACUUUCUGCCCUCUCUCAUUCGUCUCUCUCCCAAUCUCGUUUGUCUGAUAUACAAAUAUAUAUGUAUAUCAAUUACAUAUAUACAAUUAUUUGAUAGAUAUACAUAUACAAUUCACAUUUCUUCACUUUCUGCCCUCGCUCGCUCUCUCCUCCCUUUUACAUGGAGAUAUAGUUUAUAAUUAAAAAAUUAUAGCUGUGAAGCAUAAUUUAAGUUAUUUUUAAAUGACUAUAUACAAAAAUUCCCCAUAUUGUGUUAUAUAAUAAAUUCUCGUUGUUUACUUCUGUGAGAACAUCCAAUGCACUCAAGACAAUCCUAUAAGAUAAAUCCAACUCUAAAUACAAAAGGACUAUUAAAAAUAAAAAAUACUUUCACCAUAAUAUUUUAAGUUUGUUUGUAGUAAAUUAAAUGUUGAAUUAUAAUUUACUAAGGAUAAACUAUAUAACUACACAUACAUCACUACCAUAUAUACUAUAUUUUAUCUCUAAUUUAAAAUAAUUACUCAUACUAUCACUUUUAAUAUUUAUACAAUAUAUUUUAAAAGAUUUAAUUAAAUACACAAAACCCUUAAAUAAAGAAAAUGAAUAAUUAUCUUAAAUCUAAACUCCUUAGGGUUCAUAAUGUUUUUGAAGUUCAAUUUUAAUUUUUUUUUUUUACAAAUUAGGUUUUAUAUUUUUUGAUUUUGUUGUUUCUCAAACACUUUAAUGGUUGAACAUCUUGAAAUCGGAUGGUUCGUUAAAUGUAUCACACACUAACAAUAUUAUGCUAAAUCAAAUAACUUUUAUUUAUUCAUUUUCACUCAUGAAUUUAUUAUUGCAGGGACCGACUCUUCAUACGCCAACAUUCACAUCGAGAAUAGACCUACGUAUAGAAGCAACUCCAUCAAGAUGAUAGAAUUAUGCCAAGUUUUAAUUAACAAAAAAAUAAAAUACACCAUUAGAUGCACACUCAAGUGUAACGAUGUUGGAUACACAUUAUGUUUACAUGUAUCUAGUGAGAGUUCAUGUAUAUAAAAAAAAAAAUUCAGAUCCUUAAAGAAAAAAGAGAAUUUUGAAAAUUUCAAACUUUUUUUGGAUUAAUGAUAAGGCCACAGUUGUGAUUUGUUCCUAAUUCGUGUGUUUCAACUACAUUUCAUAUUUAGAUACACAUAAUUAUAUGUGUGUUUACAAUGUAUUUGAGAUACAUGAUUUUAAAUAUAAUAUAUGAAAUUAAUGCUUGGUACAUCGAAUUAAUAAUAGAUACAUAUAAAAUAUACAUGAAAUUAAAUUUGGAUUCAUACUACACAUAUAAUAAAUACAUAAAAUUAGUAUUAGAUACUUCCUUCUAUGAUAAUUGAUACAUAUGAAAGCACUUGUAUGAUACUCAUAGAUCUUGUUGUUUUGUUUGUUGGAUACAUCAUAUAUUUAUUGUUUUGUUUGUUGGAUACAUCAUAUAAUGAUAUAGAUAUAUCAAGUUGAUAAAUUUUAUUAUUUGAAGAGUAAUAAAAUGAAAUUAAUCAAUUUUCAACAAGAAUCAAAAUAUGCAUGUUUUUGUCUUUUAUUAAUAAUAUCAACGAAUUUAUUAUUUCAAAUAAUAAGAAAAUGAAAUUAAUUAAAUAUAGAUACACUCUUUAGAUUUUCGACGUAUAAUAACAAACACAACACACACAAACCACGAAACUCACCAUAUUCUCUAAUACUCAUGAUGAAGCAUAGUGUAUCCCUAAAUCGCUUGCAACUAGCCUGGAUAUCAUUAGCCAGCAAAAAAUAGUAUUAUUGCUAGUAAUGGGCCUUAACAUCAUUAGCCAGCAAAAAAUAGUAUUAUUGAAUCCAUGACAAUAAAUGGUAUUACUGAAUUCAAUGUCACAAUGCCGUGAAACAAUAAAGCAACCAUAAAUCAUAGAGCGUGUUCUUUCCGUGUCUACGACAUGCAUGCCGAAAUUUUGCUUUAUUUACUUGUGUUUGAUGAAAGUCCCACAUUCUACCUUAUACCUAGAGUAUAAAUUGAACAGAAAAAGGUAAGUUUAACCCUCCAUCCAUUUUUCGCCCUCUCUAUUUUUACUUUUUGGUUAAAAAAUUCUUCUUCUAGUCUAAAUAUACUAUCAAGGUCUAUGUUGAUAUAUAUUUUUGUAAUUUAUUUUGUUUUAACACUUAUUAAUUUUUUGUUAAGCGUUGUUGGUAGUUAUUGGUGUUUAUUUUUGAAAAAAGUUUCGCUCUCUAUAAUAUUAAUCAAAUUUUUAAGUUUUAAUAUGAUACUUGUAUUAUUUAGGGUAAAGAGGAGGUACUAUAUUUAUAUUCUCUUUGUGCGAAUUGGAUGAGCUAAAGUGUCAUAAAUUCAAGAAGCAAAAAACUAUGCAUACAAUAAAUAAUUGAAUUAAAUAUUUUGCAAAAAAACUAAAACAUUUUAAGUAUAAUUUUAUAUUAUUAUAUAUGUUUUGUAUUUAACUAUUAUGUGUGAUUAUUUAUUCCAAAAAUCAUGUUAUUAGUUGUUUAUUUCAGAUUAGAUGGUUAUAAUAUUUUUAUACCAUUAAAAUGUUGUUCACUAAUUAUAUGAUCCGUUUCUUAAGUUAAGUUGGUUUGUGUUUUUCAAAUAAAUAUACGUAAUAGGUAUUAAUUAUAUGAUUAAAUAUUAAAGAAAAAUAAAAUUAAUUAUAUUAUGUAUUUCACGGCCUAAACCAAUGCAAAACUAUACCAUAAAAAUUCAAUAUUAUUUUCAUUUCUAAUAUUAGAAUUGAUUCUUUUGUUAAUAUGAAAUCACAUUUGUUAUUAACACCUUCUUCGGACUUUUAUUUAUUCUUACUCGUAUAUUAUUGCGUAAUAUUGUUUAAAUUCAUCGUUAAUUAAUAAGAGAAAGUCCUAUUUUAUAUAAUAGUUGUUCGUUUGAUUAUAUAUUUUUCUUAUUUUUUCUUUACUUAUUAUUUAAUAAUCAUAUUUUAUCCUUUACUUUACCUUAUUAUAGUAGCUCUAUUUUUAUCCAACAUUUUCUCUUAGAUUUAUCAUUCAAAUUAUAAAUAUUUGACGUUGUUUAACGACUUAGAAAGAUACCAUCUAUUCAAAUAUUGUACUUACUAAAAUACAGUGUAUCAUACAACACAACAUACAUUAUCAAACAUAUGUAACAACUAUUAAGUAUAAUAAUUUAUGAAAAAAUUAUUUAAAUACACAACUUAUUUUAUCAAAUUUUCUAAAAUUCUCUUAUCAUUUGAAAAAAAUUGUAAAAAAUCAUAUUCUCGGGUACAUCACUUUACAAGAUAUGUAUCGAGACGUUCUGUGAUGUAUUCAAAAUCUAGACGCGAUAUAUCGGGACGUUGAGGAAUGUAUUCGAAAUAAUUAAGACGUGAUAUAUUGGGACGCAUCCGGAUUCCACCAAAUUCAAAAGGGAAAAAAAGAUAAAUAUACCUCUGAACUAUCAUAAAUGACAUGCAGAUACUCUGUCAUACUUUUUGGAAAUUGAUGCUCUUGUCAUUCAAAAACUGGAGUACAUAUACCAUUUAUACUAACGAACAUACACGUUUCAUAAUCUUAUUUAUACACCGACCCGACAUUUAUUAAAUAUCAGCUUGAUAGAUAACAUUGUGACACAUGUCCCUAUUUAGUCUUUCGUUAGAGUGAAGGGUAUACAUGCUCCAAUUUUUUGACGACAGAGGCACCAAUAUUCCAAAAAGUAUGACGAAGGAUAUCUACAUAUCAUUUACAUCAGUCCGGAGGUAUAUUUGUCUUUUUCCCAAUUUAAAAAUAUAUUUGUAAUUUGAAAAACAAUAGAGAUAAAGAUAUAAUUAAAUCUUAACACUAUGAAAUUUAUGUCAAAAGUUUCCGAAUUAAUAUAUAUAUGGGAUUGAACAAAAGGGCAUUAUGGGAAUUUUGAAAAGAAAUGAUCUCUCUCUCCUUAGACACAUUCGUGUUGUGGAUUCUCCCUGCAUUUUGACGUGAACAGAAGUAACCAACCUUAGAAACCUCAAAACAAAAUUCCUGAGCAAAACAUUAAUAACAAUACAAUCAUUGGCAUUGUGAAAAGAGAGAAAAAAAACAACAAUUUUUCAUAGGAAAAGGAAAAGGAAAAGGAAAAGGAAAAGGGGAGAUUUACCAAAGGGGUUGUUUGUUUUCUUUUCCUUUUCAUUCAUAUUUUUUUUUGUGAGAAGAAAAGAAAACAAAAAUAUUGACUGAUUGAUUUCAUACCCCUUACUCAUAUUUUUCUUUCCCAUUUUUCAUUUCUAAACACUUACCUUUUCAAUUUCUUCAUUUUCUUGGAAUUUUGUUGAAGUGAAGGCCAAAGGUCACACCUUUAAAGGCAUUUUGGGAUAUAUAUUACAUAAUGAGGUGCAUUAUGGGUGUUUUAAAGGAUAAUAUAUCAAUGGUUUUUGUGGGGUUGUGAAUUUGAAGGGAAAAGUUGGAGUCUUGAUAGGUCUCCAUUGUGUUUCUUGAGAAAUGGUAUGGCAUUCUUGAAUUUUUUUUGAAGAAUUUCUAUAGUUUGCAUGUUGGGUUUUGCUUAAAGUUUUGAGCUUUCUCUUGAAAUAGUUGACAGUUGUGGUUGGAUUGUAUGAGUAUUGUUUUCUCUUGAAGGAGUAUAGAAAGGUGGUAAAAGCUAAACUAUGUGUUGUUCUUGUGAAGGGUUAUUAUUGCUUCUUGAUAACAUAAUGGUGAGGUAUAAUUCAGUGCAUAUAUGUGUUCUAACAACUGGUGGCGAACGUAAGAUUCUUUUAUUAAGGGGUUCAAACUAUGAAGAGUAAACACACGAGGAACCCAAAGAGGUUCAACAUCAUAUACAUAAAAUAUAAUUUUGUUUAUAUAUAAACAAUGUGAUUUUUCACCGAAGGGUUUUUGAAGAACCCCUUGGCUUUACCUAGCUCUGUCUGGGCUAACAACUUAAGCUUUUAGACGAGAUGAGUACAUAAUUCGACAUGGUUCAAUACUCGUCUCCACCGAGUAUCAAGAAGAAUUUCCACGUGUUAGGCUCUUGAACAACUUAGGUUUAUUCGUUUGGAUACAAUAGCCAUAUAGUUUGUAGCUAUUAUCUAGUUUCAUACAUUUUCAUGAGAGGGAAAUAUAACAUAUUUUUCAGCAGGUUAAUAUUUAUUAUAAGAGAGUGGUAGUUUUAUAGCUGUCCACAUGAAGGUGCAAAUGUAUUUUAACUUGGCCGUGUCCAUCUUGUUGAUUGACUAAUGAGUGCAUAAGCAACCAAACUUUCAUCACUCAGAGAAGAGUUUUUUCACUUUCUACUGUCGAGUGCUGCGUAUGCACCUUCAAGUUGGAGAUUUUUGAAAGAUUAAAGCAGCUGUCCCUGAAGUUUCUAUUUUGAAACAAUACGGAAGUACACGUAUGUGUUUUGGCUUUACUCACUGCGAAGUAUUUUUUUCUCCAGGCCUAAUAAAUAACUUUGUAAAAAAUAUUCCGUUAGACCGACCUUAGUAGACGCUUCAUCUUUCAGCUUUUAAAUCAUUAUGUUACUGAGAGUCAAAUUGGCUUAUGCAAGAGUAAAAUAUGUAGACAAAUUCACAUUCCAUGUGUAGUAUACAUGAUGUCUCUUAUCUUCUUUUUUUCCUGAUUCUAUGUCAUGUUCUUUUGUUCUUUUUGCUUAUGAAAUCUUCUCUCUAGUAUAUACAGCAUACUUUCAACGUGCAUCGUUCUUUAUAAUGCACAAAUGAUUUUGAUGCUCUGACUGAGACUUCCACAAUUUUAAAUGUUGUACAGAGUGUUUCUGCCAGUGUUGUGGUUGGAUCUCAUGUAUGGGUUGAGGAUCCAGAGGUAGCUUGGCUAGAUGGGGUCGUUGUUGAAAUCAAUGGGGAAGAGAUCACUGUGGACUGCAACUCAGAGAAGACGGUAAGUUUUACACUAGUAUACGCCUUAAUUGGCUUACUAUUAUUUAUCAUUCAGUGUACCUUUUCAUUGGCUUUUAAGCUUUAAUAUUCUGUUGUAUCUGUAUUGUAUUUAAUCAACAUGGAUGGUGCCCGUGGAGAAUAAUUAAAUGAUAAUGUGAUUCUGUUUAUUUGUUUCCCGCUACAAAAACUACUAAUGUAGUCAAUUUUUUUUAUCUCAGAAGAAAAAUUCUUGCCACAAUAGGCAAUAUUAUUAACAAGAUUAGAUGUGGUUAUACUGAGUGAAGGUCUGUUCACUAUGUUGUUUGUAUAGAGAUUUUUGGGAAAGCCUUUAUGAGUUAAAAUGGUGUCCAUUUUUAGUGUUUGCAGCAUGCUUGCUACCAAACUCUGGAUUACAUCUUUCUUUUUUCUGGUAUCUGAAUGUGUUUGAAAAAUCUCCCUGAAUUUCCUUUGUAGGUUACGGCCAAUCUAUCCAAUGUGUACGCAAGAGAUACCGACGCGCCUUCUUGUGGCGUGGAUGAUAUGACAAAACUUUCUUAUCUGCAUGAACCAGGAGUAUUGCAGAAUUUGCGAAGUCGAUAUGACAUGAAUGAAAUAUAUGUAAGAACUUUAAGGACGAUUCUUAUGCAUUUUUCUAAUCAACUGUAUUUCUUUUUUUAUCUUGAUAAUAAUAAAAUUCUAGUAUUAAUGUAUUUUGCUUCAUGCUAGUUAUGCGGGGAACUGUAGAGUAGCGACUGUUUAAGCUGUGAAUAAUAAUGAAAGGGUUGAUGCCAGAAAAUAAUGCAGAGAGUGUUAUAUAAUGACUGUUUACUUAAAGGGAACUUUUGUAUUAAUAUAUUUUUUCUCUGUAUGUUAAUACACAUUCUUGUUCUACAUUAGAAGGGCUGUUUGGUUCACAUGCUAGUUAUGUGAGGAUUAUAACGCAGAGAUUGUUUAUUCAUGGAAUAAUAAUGAAGGAAUUUUGUGCGAUGAAUAAUAAUGUUGCAGUUGUAUGCGGUGAAUUAUAAUACAUGACAUAUUAUCUAGGGACUACUUACUUUAAGAAUUUUUGUUUCAAGUACUUUUAUGGACAUGUUGCUAUUUACGUGUUCUUAUUCCUCUUUCAGUCUAGCAUAAAAUAAUACAUAAGUUCCAUAUAAACUCAGUGCAGAUAUUUUUUAAUACUGUCAAGAAAAUGUUAUGCUAGUUAUGUCAGGGAUAAUAUAACAAUCAAAUGCUAAUUAAUUAUGCAUAGACUAUUUUCUAAUUCCUCUGGCUUACACUCUAUUUAUUUUAUGCAAGAUUUUUUGUUGGGAUGAUUUUUGCUAAUCCUUUCAACCAAACAAUUCCUCAAGUUUUUUUUUUUUUGUAAUAUUUUGAAUAAACUGGUUAAGAAAGCUAAGAUAUGAUUGGAUGCGUUCAGACUUACACUGGGAGUAUCUUGAUUGCCGUGAAUCCCUUCAAGCGGUUACCCCAUCUAUAUGCUAAAAGUGUGAUGGAACAGUACAAAGGAAUUGCACUUGGGGAUCUGCCCCCUCAUCCUUUUGCUAUUGCUGAUUCUGCCUACAGGCAAGAUUCAUGUUUUUCGAGUGGCUUUCAAAUAUCAAAUUACUAUAUAAUCUUUAACAUUGUUCUUUUUGAAUGCAGGCAGAUGAUUCAUGAGGGGAUAAGCCAGUCAAUUUUGGUAAGUGGAGAGAGUGGAGCGGGCAAGACAGAAAGCACAAAAAUGCUUAUGCAAUAUCUUGCGUAUAUGGGCGGACGAGCUGCAGCUGAGGGAAGGAGCGUGGAGCAGCAAGUCCUUGAGGUAUGGUUAACUUUUGGUAAAUUUUCGCUGCUCGAUUUUGUUUCAAUUAAUUUUGCUGUUGGAAUUUUGAGAUAGCCACUUUCUUGUCAAGACUGGCUUUAUAAAAUCUGUUCAAAAUAAAUAUGGAUCAAUCAACAAUACCUCAAAACAUUUCUGGAUAUAUGUACAUUUUUAACUUUUGCUUUCUUCAGUCAAAUCCAGUUUUAGAAGCCUUCGGUAAUGCUAAGACAGUCAGAAACAACAACUCAAGGUGAGGAGACCAGAAACUUAGAUGCUUGUUCCUAUUCAUAUUGCACAUUCUGUUUAACUAAUACUUUGGCUUCACCAACAUGUAUUUUGGCAGUCGUUUCGGUAAGUUUGUGGAGCUCCAGUUUGAUAAAAGGGGGAGGAUAUCUGGUGCCGCCAUCAAAACAUAUCUGCUGGAAAGAUCCCGCGUUUGUCAAGUUUCUGAUCCUGAGAGAAAUUAUCACUGUUUCUAUUUGCUUUGUGCUGCGCCACCUCAGGUAAUUUCACUGUGCCUUUAUGUUUGCAAAUGCCUUCUUCUAGUAUUUGGGGUUCACUUUACCUGUAUUAGGAUUUACAUCAUUCUUAUUGCUUGCUCCUCUGGAUACAAUUUGUCUAUUUUCUAAUUAAGCACCAUUAAUAUGUUAACAAAGAGAAAGAAGUUUUUUGUUUUUUUCAUUUAUUUAUUUACUUGUUAUUUUCGUUAUUUUUGAAGAAUUACAAAGUAAGCAACAUGGAUGCAUCCUCUUGCAAUAAUAAAAAGUAAAGUUGUGUACAAUAGACCUAGUGUGGUAUGACCGCAGAAGCCGUAGCAUUAGGUGCUAUGUUCUAUUUUUCAUUUUAAGGACUAUUAAGACCAGAAAAUAUUCUCGUCUGAACAUGUUCCGUAGCAAUAUGUCAGAUCUUAUUAAAUAAAUAGAUGUGACUCCUCUUAAACCAUAUAAGCAUCAAGAUGAGCUAUCACAUAGUUCAACAGGUUAGGAUCAUACAAUGUUGUUCUAAGUUGGAGCUACUUGGUUUCUUUCCUUCUCUUUUCUUGCAGGAUGUUGAAAAAUAUAAAGUAGGGAACCCAAGGACAUUUCAUUAUCUGAACCAAUCAAAUUUUUUUGAACUAGCUGGAGUGGAUGAGUCGGAGGAAUACCUGGCAACGAGGAAAGCCAUGGAUGUUGUAGGGAUAAGUCACGACGAGCAGGUAUUAGCAUCACUGCAUCUUCGAUACAUGGGUUACUUCAUGAAAGUCUCUAGUUUUAAUAUUCAACUGCAGGAUGCUAUUUUUAGAGUAGUGGCUGCAAUUCUUCACUUGGGAAACAUUGAAUUUGCAAAGGGAACAGAAACUGAUGCUUCGGAACCUAAGGAUGAUAAGUCUCGGUUCCAUCUAAAGAUUGCAGCUGAACUAUUCAUGUAAGUGGUUUCUUCUAUUUAUAGUCUCCAGAUACCAUCGCGUUCCUUUUUUUUUUUUCCGAAGGAAAUUUCAUUUUGGUGAAAUUUUGUUUAGGUGUGAUGAGAAGUCCCUUGAGGACUCCAUGUGCAAACGUGUCAUGGUCACUCGUGAUGAGACCAUUACAAAGUCCCUUGAUCCAGAAGCUGCAGCUCUCAGUAGAGAUGCUCUAGCCAAGAUAGUUUACUCAAGACUGUUUGAUUGGUUAGUUGAGUUCAGGGUGAUUAAGUUGUAUUGCUUGUUUAGUUGUACCAAAGAUAUUUGACCCAAGAUAAAUAUUGUAUUAUUGUUCAGGAUAGUGAACAAGAUCAAUAACUCUAUUGGCCAAGAUCCCGAAUCAACUCUCUCAAUUGGUGUUCUAGAUAUCUAUGGAUUUGAGAGUUUCAAGACAAACAGGUGCUUAACCGGUAUGCUUUUGUUUUCAUCAUUCACAGAGGUUAAGUUCUUGCAGAGUGCUGGAUGAAAGUUCUGUUCUUCCAUUUUGGAUUUUUGGAAUUGAAUGUUCAUUUUCCUCUCUGAUCCAACUUAACCAUAAUUUUUUUCUCUAUCAACAUCUUCCUCUUUUACCAGAUUUAUCUUGGAUACGAUUUAUUGUGCCUGCUAUAUUUAUUGCUGCCUAUACACACAUUCUGAUUCUUAAAGCACUUUAGGUGUUGAGUUCACAUUUAGAUGAAUAGCCUUAAUAACUACUCGUGCUAGUUUAUUCAAUUUGCUUUUUGGUGCUCUUUCUUUGGUUAUGAUUAUUGAUUUCUUCUAUGCAGUUUUGAGCAAUUUUGCAUUAAUUUGACCAACGAAAAACUGCAGCAACAUUUCAACCAGGUUUGUGUAGUCAUUAAUUUGAUAGUCUCUCAUAGCUGAGAAAUGUUAAUAUAAAUACUAAAACCUUUUAUUGUUCCCUUUGCCAGCAUGUUUUCAAGAUGGAGCAAGAAGAGUAUACCAAGGAGGAAAUUGACUGGAGUUACAUAGAGUUCAUUGAUAACCAAGAUAUUCUUGAUCUUAUAGAAAAGGUGAUGUAGAACAUGAAUAUAAUUUAUCACCAUCUUUGACUUUUCUCGGAAAAUGUACAGAGUAAGAUUUAUUGGCAGAAAAUGGGAUAAGAGCAUAUACAAGUGUAUACACAUAAAGAGUUCUAUACAAAGUAGAUCUGUCUACCAAUUAUAUUUAAUCAUCAAUGCAUGUCAAAUUGUCUUAUGCUGGUUACAUUACUAUUUGAUUCACUUCUUUCCUCCACAGUUAUUCUGGUAAAAAAGGAAAACAGUAUAUGUGCUUUUAUCAUCAUUUUUCUGUGAUGUCAUAGAUUUUAAAUUUUAUUGAUAUGUUUUGGUUGCACUUGAGCCAAGGGUCUUUUGGAAACAGCCUCUCUACCUCCACGAGGUAGAGGUAAGGUCUGUGUACCCUCCCCAGACCCCACAUAGUGGGAUUUCACUGGAUAUGUUGUUGUUGAUGUAUUGAUAUGUUUUGGUUCCAUUUUGCCAUGCUUAUGUUCUGAAUACUUUGGUUCUUUCAGAAACCUGGGGGGAUAAUUGCUCUUCUUGAUGAGGCUUGGUAUGCAGGCACUUCAAUUCUUUAAUUUACUCUAAUUUUUCUUUCUCUUGGUAUAAUUGUCAAAAUUAAUCACAAAACUCAUUGGCUGUGGUGUUUACUACUUAUGUGGCUCUUCUGCCAGUAUGUUCCCAAGAUCAACACAUGAGACCUUCGCUGAAAAGCUAUAUCAGACAUUUAAAGAUCAUAAGCGGUUCAGCAAGCCAAAGUUGUCUCGGACGGAUUUUACUGUUUGCCACUACGCUGGUGAUGUAAGUAUAAAAACUAGUUCAUCAAGAUAUAUUUAACAUCACAGAAUGAGGGUUAUGCAAUUAUUGCCUAGAAUAGCAAGUGUCGCUCAAAGCUGUUUUGACUUCUUUCAUGUCAGGUCAAGUACCAAACUGAGUUCUUUUUGGAUAAGAACAAGGAUUAUGUAGUUCCAGAGCACCAAGCAACACUUAUUGCUUCAAAGUGCCCCUUUGUUUCUGGCUUGUUUCCACCUUUACCUGAAGAUUCUUCUAAACAAACCAAGUUUUCCUCUAUUGGUGCUCGAUUUAAAGUAUGUUUUCCUCUAGCCUUUGAUCAACCUUUUUACAUUAUUGCUUCAUGCCUCUGAAAUAUCUUACCCUGUACCUGAUGUAGCAACAAUUGCAAUCAUUGCUUGAGACUCUUAAUGCCACAGAGCCUCAUUAUGUUCGUUGCGUGAAGCCAAAUAAUCUUUUGAAGCCAGAAAUUUUUGAGAAUCAAAAUGUACUCCAGCAGCUUCGUUGUGGGGUACUCUUGAACAACUCUGUCUAUUACAAAUUAUACUGUCUCUGCAAAACUGGGUGCUUCACAAUUAAAUCUUUUCUAGGGAGUUCUGGAGGCUAUUCGUAUCAGUUGUGCUGGAUUUCCUACUCGAAAACCAUUUGAUGAAUUCUUAAGUCGGUUUAAGGUCCUUGCUCCUGAAGUUUUAAAUGGAAGGUAUUAUUUGCAUUAGAAUUUAGCACAAUUCAAAGAGUUCUCAAGGUUUCUAUCCAUUUCUUUCUUUGGUCUGUUAACAUUUAGAAAUUUUCUGCUCUCAUGUUAAGUCUUCUCCUUGAUAGAAUUGACGAGGUUGCUGCUUGCGAAAGACUUUUAGAGAAAUCUGGCCUCAAAGGUUAUCAGGUACUGAUUGUCAUUCUUCUGGUAAUGGUUAAUCAUAAGUAGAAAAAUCAUUAAGAAUUAUCUAUUAAAGAGAGAUUAUGUUUAUGUGCUGAAUACUUCAGCCAGAAAUCAAGAAACAAUCAGUAAAAUAUCUCCCUAUUCUUCUUUCCUUUAGGCAAGAAAUUACAAAUAAAUUACCUACCUAAACUAAUAUAGAAUCUCUCUAAUGUAGAAACAAAAUAAAAUCCGGCUUCCUAGUCUAAGAACAGUUUCUUAGCCCAUUCAGGAUCUUUGAGAUCCAUCCCCAGAAUUAGGACAACUCGAAAUCGUGCUUAUUCCUUCUGCUCUGAAAGUUCAGUGCCUUUUUUCUUUUUAAUUGGAGUAUUUGGUCAUUUAGUUGCUGCGAUUUAGUUGAGAAUCUUGUGGGAAACCUGUAAUCAAGGUUUCCUACUCUCUUGUUACAUCAGAUUUUUGUUUGUAUUACAUAACUCAAUUUUGGUAUCAUCUGUUGGUAUGAUUCUGACUUCUGUUUAAGUUUAUAAAAAUUUUACUUGUGACGAUCAUUCUAUCUAUUAUUACGUAAUUGUAGGUUGGAAAAACAAAAGUGUUUCUUAGAGCUGGUCAAAUGCCAGAAUUAGACACUCGCCGAAAUGAGGUCCUUGGCAAGUCAGCUAUCAUAAUCCAGGGAAAAGUUCGCUCAUACUACGCUCGAAAAAAGUUUUUGUUGUUACGAGCUUCAGCAAUCCAAGUCCAAGCUGUUUGUAGGGGUAUGAACCUGCUUGAUUUCUAUAUUAGUUAUACGACCACAUGCCAACAAAAAGCUAGAUUGGCAGUGAGUACAUCCUGGGUCCUGCGCACACCGUCUGUGACACUGGGAUUUGUUUUCCUUUAAAUUCAAUAAUGCCUCUAAUGGUUCGCUUAUGCAAUAAAAAAAUGUAAUAACUGUUUCAUGAUGCCUAUGCAGGCCAGACCGAACGGGCUCUCUAUGAGUGCAUGAGGAGGGAAGCUGCCUGUCUGAGGAUCCAAAAAGAUGCACGCAAGUACAUUGCAAGGAGAUCUUAUGGAUUUCUGUGUGUUUCAGCUGUUUCCAUUCAAGCAGGACUGCGGGGCAUGGCUUCUCGAAAUGAGCUUCAAUUCAGAAAGCGAAAAAAAGCAGCUGUCUUUAUCCAGGUAAUAGAGGGACUUUGUACUGUCUUUUCUGAAUUUUUACAUACCAUUUCAGAGCCAGAUUUUUAUCCUGAUCUGGUUCAGCAUUAUGAUAAUUAGAAUUCAAGUAACGAAUCCAUUUUACAUGUUUUGACUGACACUUAGCUUUGCUGUAAUUUUUCUUACCUUGAUUAUAGAGUGAUUGGCGGAGAUGUGUGAAACGUCGGCAUUAUAGGAGGAUGAAGAAAGCAGCAGUUGUGUUACAAUGUUCCUGGAGAGCUAAAUUGGCCCGUAAAGAACUGCGGAAGCUAAGGAUGGUGAGAACUUCUCUUUCUGUUGGCCUUUAUUGUUCACAAUUUUUUUUGUAUGACAUGCUAGUUUGUUAUGCCCCUUGAUCUGUGUAACUUGUAUUUAUCAUUCAUUCUCCAAGUAUGAAGUUAUGACAGAAUAACAACUAGUUCUGAAUCAUUCAACGCGAAGCAUGAAUAUGUCAAAGUUAAAUAAUUGAAUAUCCAUGUCUUGUACUUGAAUUGCUGAAUGCAGGUCGCCAAUUUAUAUAUUCAACUGUUAUCUUGCAAGAAAACUCUCUUCAGUCAUUUUCCUCCUUUAAAUUGAUUUAAGAUUCUUUGAUGAAAUUCACAGGAUAGUACAUGAGAUUUCCCCAUGUUGAACUUGCAAAUCUAUAUCUGCCAUUGUUGGAUUCGUGUUUCACGGGGUGGAGUUCAAAACCUUGAUAAGUGCAUUAAAUGUCUUGAUUUUCUUUUCUGAUUCAGGCAGCUAAAGAAACUGGAGCUCUCCAAGAUGCCAAAAGCAAGCUGGAAAAGGAAGUUGAAGAGCUGACACAGAGACUACAGGUGGAGAAGCGCAUGAGGGUAAAUAAAUUUCUUUUAAUUUUCAAGAUAACUACCAGUAUUAUAAUUGAUAAUUAGGUUCUAAAAGUUUCAUUAUCUAUAAUGUCGUCCCUUCCACUCAGUUUGACGAAAAUGAGUUCAUCUUAUAUUUGUUCAGGCCCGUCUUUUCUGCACAUCACCGUGAGUUACAGGUCCUACACUUGAUAAUUGAGACAUAUAUCCAAUAGUAUUCCUAAACUUAAGGAAUUGAAAAUAGAUUCGAUUUACUGCAGCUUUAAUCACUUAGGCCUAUCAAAGGCAAAAACACUCCAGAAACUACUGAGGAACUAAUGGUUCACUCCCAGAUUCUCACUCAGAAAUCAAUACUCCUUGAAAUGAUGUACCUGAAGGAUCACUUUUUUGAAAAGAAGAAAGCUCGUAGCAUUUAAGAAUGUACAGAAUAUCUAAUGCAAGUUAAGAACCUGGAUGGGAUAUGCAUUUCUACAUGUAUAUAUCAAUUAACUUUGUUGAAUGAUUCUCAUGCAAACCAUUUUUUGAAGAGAAUGUCCAAUUUAGAAAUGCCUAGACAAUGGUGAAGUACUUUUAUUCUUUGAAUGAAUUAAUUUCACAAUGCAAUAAAGAAACAUGGAAAUGAUAAAGAGAUGCUAGUUUAUUAUGAGGAGAACUUGUUGACAGUUAGCGGAAAACUAGUAUUAUCCUAUAGUAGGCGUUGCUAGUUGAAAUGGUGUAAGUUGCUUAGUGUUUAAUCAUGAUAUGCAGGCUUCUGUUUGCGACCUAAUGUUGAACUAUGAUGCAUGAUAUUUCCAACAUGAUGAGCUACAAUGUUUAAGCACAAUGCUAGACUUUUCAUUGUGCAUCUUUUCCAGUACCCCAUUAUAUAUAUGGCAUAAUUCUGUUCUCCUCUAUAGCUAACAAUGAUCUAUAAACUUUUUCCGAAAAUGCUUCGGUUAUUAUUUUUUAUAUGUUUAGGACUCUGAAAUUCUGCAAACAUUUGUUUGUUGAAACAAAAAAAGUGAACUGGUGAUCGCCUAUCUUAGUGCUCAACUUCUGAAUCAAAAGAAAGCAUAUACUUGUUUCUGCUUAUGAUGCAUACAUGAUUGAAUUGUUGAUGAAAAUUAAUUUCACUAUGAAGUUGUUAUUGUUGGACUUUGGAGUUGGACCAAGGUAAAACAAGAUUUGGAAAAAUUAACAGAAAAUGUAAUGUGAUUCUAUUUCAUAGUAGCAACUUCUUUCUGUACCACUAACUGACAAAAAACUAUAUUAUAUAGGACAAACUUGAGGAAGCUAAAAUCCAGGAAACAAUGAAAUUACAGUCUGCAUUGGAAGAGAUGAGGCUUCAGCUUCAAGAAACUAAAGAGCUGCUCAAGAAGGAACGUGAAGCUGGCACAAAGGUCGUGGAUCAAGGGUCCGUUAUACAAGAGGCCAAGGUUAUAGAUCAGGGGGUGGUCACAGAGGAACGUGCGGCUUCCACAAAGAUCGUGGAACAGGGAUCAGUUGUAAAAGAGGUCCAGGUUAUAGAUCAGGUGCAGGUCAACAAGCUUACAGCUGAAACUGAGAAGCUUAAGGUUAGAAUGUGAGGUUUAACUUUGUUGUAUUACUUAAUGGAUAUUGGAUACUUUAUUUGAAGUUCAAAAAGUAUAUGAAGUAAUCCUGACAGGGAAAGUUUUUCUAUUGUUUCAAAUUUGUUCUUUUAUCCUCUGUUUUCUCACUCAAGAUUAUAUCCAUUACAGCUUCUGAUGCAUAAUUUUCAUAGUUCAGUUGUCGAACUGGCUUUUAAUAUCUUGUCAAAUUCGUCGCAGGUUCUUGUUAACUCAUUGGAAAAGGAAAUUGACGAAAAAGAGAAAAAAUAUGAGGAGACAGUCAGAGUAAGUAGUGAGCGACUGAAGCAAGUUCUGGAGGCCGAGUCUAAGAUAAAUCAGUUGAAGGAUGCCAUGCAAAGGUAAUGAAAUUUUACUUAUGUCAGUUUCUUUGUUUGAAACAGUCUUCCCUUACUUGUUCUACCUUUAUAUGGUUUAGUAUUAAUCUGGGAUUAUCAAUCAUAGUUUCUCUAAAGCAGAAUGUCAAUUAUGACAUCGUCCUUCGUUCCGCAUAGUUGAAUGGUCCAACAAUAACAACUACGCCUCAGUGCCAAAUAAGUUGGGGAGUUGAAUGGUCUAAGUUUAAUAUUUUUAAUUCAUGAUAUACCUACUAAAAAUUAACUGCAUAAACCUCCUAGCAGAUUCAUGGUUCAAUUGUUUCAAUCCACCUUAGCUUCCUCCAAAUUGAAUCUAAUAUGUAGUUGACCCAAAAUUGCAUUUUGAUCUCCGCUGAAUCCAGAUCCUCUCAUAACUUUUGCAAUUGUUGGUAUUUUGUUGUCAAUACAGUUCUAAGUUAGUUUGAAUUUCGCACCAAUUUAGAUCCUUAUUUUCCCAUCUUUUUCAUUUGAUACUGAUUGAGAGAACCACAGUUCGAAAGAGCUGCUAAUGAAGGAUCCUGAGGCUGCCACAAAGUUGUUGGAAGAAGUAGAGUUCCAGGUUGCAGAUCAGGACGUAUCGGGCAAGAUUAGCGCUGAAAAUGAGCAGCUCAAGGUGAAGAUGUUAGAUUUACAUUGUGAUGUACUACUUAAUAGAUGCUCUUCUUGAAUUUCAAUAAUUACCAGAAAUUGUGGUCGGGACCAGUUUUCUUGCUGCUUCUAAUUUUCUUAUCUUGUUUACUUUUUUCUUUCAUAGGAUUAUAAAUCCAGGAUUGCAGUCUCGAUGUGUGAUUAUCAUAAUUCAGUAAUUGAACUAGCUUUUAACAUGCUUAUUAUAUAUGUUGCAGGUUCUUGUUAGUUCAUUGGAAAAGAAAAUUGAUGAAACAGAGAAAAAAUAUGAGGAAACAAGCAAAAUAAGUGAGGAGCGAUUGAAGCAAGCUCUGGAUGCAGAGGCUAAGAUAAUUGAGUUGAAGCUUAAUAUGCAAAGGUUGAAAAGUUUUUCAUAUAUGGCUUGGUUUCUUCAACAGCUCUGGCCUCUUAUCUUAUUUGUUCUUUUCAAAAUAUGGUUUUGUAUGUCAUUUAAAUAUGGUAGCUGUUAGUCUUAAGCUGGAACUGAAUCAGUAUUUUAUCGUCGUACCCAUACCUAUGUCACAACAUGUGGAUCAAGCUUGAAAAAUGCUUGUUAUAUCAAUCAGCUGUUAAGUUCAAAUUGGUAACUACAGACAUUAACGAAGAACCAAAUCAUAGAUUGCCUAUGAUUUGCAUUGAAUAUGACAGCUGGUUUACUUGGGGUUCAUGAAUAUCAAUAGCCAGUGUUCUUGAGAGGUUUUUUAGCUUUUGUAAAGAUUUGAACUUUUUGGGUAAAAAUUCAAAUUGUAGUUUAACCUAGUCAAAUCUGUUCGACUAAAGCAGAUGACGGAUCCAUGUAUAUUGCUUCUGUGUGUUCUCCAAUAUUUCUUUUAUAGCUUCUCUUCUUCUUAGAGCAAAAUUUCAACAUAAUCCAUCAUAUUUGUACAAGUUAAAUUACAGGAUUCUUUAUCAUGUGAAAUAAGUUAGUUUGAAUAUCUUUUUUAACUUAACAUUUGUAUCUCAGGCUUGAAGAGAAACUUUCGGAUAUAGAAGACCAGCAGAUUCUUCGACAGCAAGCGUUAAAUUUACCAACUGGAAGAACUUCAAGUCGUUUUGCAGUAAAAACUCUGCCUCUGAUGCCAUAGAAAUGCCAAUCUUUUUUUCAUAGCUUUCUUGUGCGUUUCCUCACUUUUUUAAAACUUUUUUCUGUUUUCCUCCUGCAGACUUCUGAAAACGGUCAUCAUGUAAGUGAAGGAUUCACCUAUUUAGUGCUUUGUUAUAUACUUCCUCUUUCCCAAUGUAUGAUACUCUUGUCAUUUUAGUACAUCCCAAAACGUUCGACACCAUUCCAUUUCUGAACAACUUUCACUACUUUUAAGAAUUCAAAUUCAUUUAAGUGUUCAAGUUUUAAAUAUUGAGAUGAUGUUUUCUCUAUCAAACUAACAUUUUAAAUAAUACUCUAAUGUUUUCUUACACUAUCACUAGUAUAACAUAUAAGUUAAAUUAACAUCUUAAAUACUGUGUGCACUCGAAUAGUCAUAUAAACUGGGAUGAAGGGAGUAACAGUCAUGUUGGUGCUUUGCAUAAUGUCUGUUCUGACAUGAUGACCGUUUUCAGGAACCACUGGCUGCAGUACCAUCAAGAAGGUUUGGUACAGAUUCAAUGAGGAGAUCCAAUGCGGGAGCAACAAAAUGGUUUGGUACAGAGUCUAUGAGGAGAUCCAUGGCUGAUAGGCAGCGGGUAUGUACCCAGGAAGUGAUUAAAUAUUUUUCAAUCAGAUUUCUUUUUCUGUUUGCCAUCUUUCUCCGAUUUCGCACUUUUUGGGAAUAUAUGGAACAAGAUAUCUUAAAAUUGGAGUUCCUAAAACAUGCUAUACAAACAUUUAUUUUAAAAGGCUUGUGGUUUGAACUCUAUUGUAUGAGUGAGAUUCACAGAUACCGAGUUGAUGGCUUAGUCAAAAUCUUUCCCGAAAGAAAACCAGGAUUAAACAUUAUCUUUGAUUUAAUGAGAAGUGGGGAAAAGAUAAGGCUGAUUGAAUUUCUUUUCUCUGAUGUCGCUAAGAGGUUGAUACAGCUGAACUUUUUCCUUUUCUGGUGGGGGAUGGGCGUUCAAACCCUUCCAAUUUUAUAUUUCUUCUUCCUUAUCUUCACCCUCAUUCCUGUAUUAUACCUUGUACUUCCUUGUUCACUGUCUAUAAUGAACAAAUAAAGAGUGCUGAUACACUCCAAACUUCUCUUGAUGCAUCUUGAAAACUACCUUCCUUAGCUUUUUCUUUCUCAGAAGUUAUGUUAUACCUAUAAAAAAGAGAAAAUCUACUGCAGAAGAUAGUAUCGGAAGGACAUAGCUGCAUAUGUUUAUCGAUGGAGUUCCCUUUUAAUCCUAAACCCUGGGCAGAAUGCUUUUUAAUUUUUUUUUUGAUACCGAGAAAUCCAACUGUAGCCAACCUUUAGGACUAGCCGCUACCUUGGAAACUCAGGGAUAAUAGGACUUCCCCUCUACCCUUAUCAACUUGAGUAUUAGGCUUAGUUAUCUUGGCGUCAGGCUUGAACUUGUGACCCAUGCCUCAAAUUGCUGUACCUUUUCCAAGUGAGCUAAUCCUUGGGGACUGAAUCAAAUGAUUUUAUGUGUGUAUGCAAUGCUUAAAGAUGUAGACAUGCAUAUACUGUUCUGCAUGAGUACAAAAACAUUGAGUUGUUUUUCUAAUUUCGUGUUACUAGUUUUUGAGAAGUUUUAUUCACAGCGGCAUAAUACAUCAGCACAGUAAAUAUUCCUCCACUUUAUUGUUGUAUGAAUGUGGUGAUCCCGUGGCUACUAAUUCUAAUAUCUUCUUUAACAUUAUGUUGCAGGAGAGUGUGGAUAUUCUUAUCAAAUGUGUCAGUCAAGAUCUAGGGUUCAGUGAAGGGAAACCAGUGGCAGCAUUUACCAUAUACAAAUGCCUACUUAAUUGGAAUUCCUUUGAAGCAGAAAAAACUAACGUGUUCGAUCGUCUUAUUCAGAUGAUUGGUUCUGCGAUAGAGGUAACUUUCAAUAUCAUGUCGAAAUCAGCGAUCAUGUUGUAUUGUUCGUAGGAGUUCAUGAGUCAUAACAUAAGUGUAAUACACAUACUAGCCUGUAUUAUACUGCUAUGUCAAAAAUGCUGUCUCUCUAACUCAAUGACAAACAUAUAUACUCAUUUUAUAUCAAUUUCAGGAUGAGACAAACAAUAAUCACAUGGCGUAUUGGCUGUCCAACAGUGCAACUUUGUUGUUUUUACUUCAGCAUACACUGAAAACUACUGAUUCAGCUCCAAGUAGACCGCCCCAACCAACAUCAUUUUUUGGUAGAAUGGCACAGGUACUUGAUUCUUUCUUUCAUCUCUAUUAUUAAAUGUGCUCCUAAAGCUAUUGAAUUGAAGUUUCUGUUGGCUAUACAUUUUGCAGUAUUACUUUGUGUAUUUGAAAGCACUUCUAUAGAAAGUUUCUGCAGCUAUUAUUUGAGUUCCCUGUUACUUAACAAAAUUGAACAUGUCUCUGAUGCUACUAUUGAUGUUGAAGAUCUGAGGUGGAAAAUAGAAAACAGAGAGAAAUAACUGUAUUGAUAUGUGUCAUAAACUGUUUCAUAAGUAGAAGAAAACUAGGAACACAAUAUACAAAAUACGGUGGUGCAUUUAUUGGACUGCUAUGUAUUAAGUUGGAACCAGUCCUUGACGACCGAACACGUCCAUCAAACUCAUAAUGGUGAACUCACUUGAGGUUGAAAAGUAAUAGUGUAAGAUCCUUGUCUGUCUAGUGUGUGAUGGAAGGCUGAAGCAUGCUCUUAGUAGUUGUUAAAGAUAGAUUGCGGAACAAGCAGAGAUUGGAACAUAGUUCCUUUAUGUAUAUUUUGGAUGAUUCGAAUUGAAAUCAAAUAUCAAUGUUUUGUGGGAACAAAGCAUACUUCAUAAUUGAAGUUUAGAUAUCUUCAAAAUAAAAAAGAAACUGAUGGAAAGGAAGAGGAGGAAGUGAAGCUGGAGCAGAUGGAAACUACAAUAACAACAUACCCAGUGUAAUCCCACAAGUGGGGUCUGGGGAGAGUAGGAUGUACUCGGACCUUACCCCUACCUUUUUGAGGUAGAGAGGUUGUUUCCGAUUGACCCUCGGCGUAGAAGAAUUGCAAGAAUAAUAUAACAACAAAAUAGCAACACCAAAGCAAAAAGAGAUUCACAUAAUAUUAAAGAAGCAUAUAAAUCAAAUAAGAUGACAGACUGAACAUAUGGCUAACAGAUCGAGAUACAAAUCAGUCGAAAUCAUUCACCAUACAAGAAAGAUAAACGAUGGAGUAGUGUCCCAAGACCUUUAUAUAAAUCCCCUUGGAAGUCCUUACAUAACCUAUGCGAGACAACAAACAAAUCAACAUCCUUUUGCACAUUUAACCCAAUACUUGGAGUUCAGUGAUCUGUAUUACUGACUUACCAAUGGCAAAUAGGUUUGUCAAAGGUUGACUCUGAUAGCAUGUCAAAGAAGAUGAGCUUCCAACCUAAUACAUCAAGGCCAUGAGUGGAGUAGUCCAAGACCCUUAUAAACCUUUGAGAGCCCUUACAGAACCGAUGUCAGACAAUCAGAAGAUUUCAGAAGGCAGAGUCGGUAGAAGUUAGGAGGGAUAAUUUUCUAUAGUUCAUGAACUAAUUGUAUAUAUAUUCUGUGCGCUGAUCUGAAAAUGGUACCAUGCUUAAUAUCUGUGAUGAAGAGGAAGUGAAUUAGAUGUAACACCGCACCAGUAGGCGGAAAUAAUUUUCAAAUUCUCAUACAGAUUGAAUUGGAUCAUAUAGAGUGAUGAAGAUCUGAAUGACGGGGAAGGAAUAAGGAGAACUAGCCAUAUUGAUUCUAACUUUAUUAAUAUGAUAUACAAUAUUCACUUAUAUAUAGGUGUGAUGCACUAUGUAAGAUACAAUCCUGCAUUUAUUUCACCAUUGAUUUACUUUUUAGGUGACCUCCUGUGUCCUAACUUUCUAGUAGUUUUUCUACUCUUAUCCUGCGAAUUUCCAAGAUAGACCAUGUAACUGUUACUUGUUUACAGCUGCAUUGGUUGGACAUUAGUAAAUCUCUCUCUGUAUAAAACAUACUAGUAGCCUAGAAUGAGGUAUAUGCAGGUUAUUUAAAACAGAAUUCCAACACAUUUCUUCAGAAAAUUUAUUGAUUAAAUGAUUGUACUUCUUUUCUAGAGUUUCCGGUCUUCAUCUGUCAACCUUGCAAUUGGUGGUCUCGACACUGUACGUCAGGUUGAGGCAAAGCAGCCAGCUUUACUUUUUAAGCUACAGCUCAGUGCUUAUGUCGAAAAGAUUUAUGGAAUUGUUCGAGAUAACUGGAAAAGAGACCUGUCUUCACUGCUGACUUCAUGUAUCCAGGUAAAUCACCAUGUUUUCUAGAAGUUCUAUGAGGAUGUUUUAUAUAUAUGUGUAUGUUCUGUACAUAUAUGUAUGUAUUCUGAACAAUAUGAAUAAUAUCAUUUGAUGCUUGUUAAUAAAAGAAUAUCUCUCAAGUAAGUCCUCUUCUCAAAUGGCACUUCUCCCUAGCUCACAAGGACUAACUGCACCAUAUUCACUGUUGCUUUCAUUAGGAUUCUGGUUUAUCUUGAUUUCAUGGCCCUUUCAAAAAAAUUCUGUUGGAUCUCAAAAUUGUGAUAAGCCGUUGUGCUUGUAACUUAAUUGUAUUUUGACUCAAAACUUCUUCGGGUUAUGGUCUUUGUACUUCAUAUAUUCAAACUUCUAAUUAUACUUGCACUUCCCAUCUUAAUUAGGCAUCUCAAGCAUCAAAAGGUGGAUCCUUGCAAUCACCACGGAAGUCCGUUGAUGGUUCUUCUCCACCCACUCCCUGGGAUGGAGUAAUUGAGAGCCUAAAUGGGCUUCUCAGUACACUGAAAGAAAACUGUGUAAGUUUCAUUGUAGGAAACAGUGUGAUGUGCUAAUAUUACUAAAACUGAUGAGUGGACUUGUGAAAUUUUUCAGGUUCAUCCAGUUUUCGUCCAGAGAAUUCUAAACCAGAUAUUCUCUUACAUAAAUGUUCAGCUGUUCAAUAGGUACAUUCUUUUCGUAUCUCAUAGCAGGAAGAUUAGAAAGAAACUCAUAGAUACUCCACUUACCAUUCUAUUUAAUCAUCAUUGCAGCCUUCUCCUUCAAAGAGAGUGUUGUACAUUCAGCAGCGGGGAGUAUGUGAAAGCUGGAUUGCAAGAAAUAGAACUUUGGUGCGGCAAUAUGAAAGAAGAGGUACUGUAUCAUUAGUACUGUAAGGGUACAUUGUUCGUAGAUUAAUAUAUAUGAACUGUAUUUACAUAUAAUUUAUCUUUUCCUUUCGCAGUACGUUGGUUCUUCUUUGGAUGAAUUAAAGCAUGCAAGGCAGGCAGUAGGAUUUUUGGUAUGUUUCUCCAAUGAACCUUUUUUUUUUUUUGGAAAAAUGUCGCUCUGCUUCAUAGCCUAAUAAUGCUCGUCUUACAUUUAAGUAUGAUUUUACGGGAACUCUUUUCUGUUACUUGCAAGUGACACCACAUAUAUGGAUAUUUAACUCCCAUUUUGAGAUUAUCUAUCACCGAACCCCUUCCAUAUAUUUUUCCCUAUCUAAAUAGCUCCUUUACAGGUUAUUAAUCAGAAGUCAAGACUUACAUCUGAAGAUCUAACAACUGAUCUCUGUCCCGUAAGUUCAUCUUCGUAGUCUUCUUAGUUGUACUUAAUUUAGAGAUUCCAAAUAUUGAUAAUACAUGGCGGUUCCAGGCUGCCACUUCUGGAAGUCGUGUUCCUUUGUUAGUUAUUUGAGUGCUAAAACAAAGAAUCCUAUUGGAGAAUUUUAUGAAGUGUAUAUAGAUCGACAGGGACUUAACCGAAUUAUUUAUGGUGUUAAAAUAUUGAAGUUAAUUUUCAUGCUACGAUACGAGUCCUUGACAUUUAUCUUGUCACAUUUGUGCAUCUGUCACUGAAUGUCUUUUUUCUGUUGGGAUCAUCUUUUCAGAUUCUGAGUAGUCAACAGUUGUAUCGGAUAUGUACACUUUACUGGGACGAAGAUUUUAAUACUCAAGGUGUAUCCCCAGAGGUAAGUCCUCCUUUCUUCAUUUAUUUUAUUUCACUCAAUGUCUUCUAUUGAUUAUGUGUAUAAGGAAUGCUCCUUCGAGACGAUCUGUUAGUCGACUAAUGUAUAUCAAUAUAAGAUAUUGGUUUGCAUCCUCCAACUGUUUGUCUUUCUGAUUAUUUUCUUCUUUCGGGGACGCUAAACCUUAGCUUUAACGUUUCCCCCUCUCUCUCUCAAUGGCAAAUUUUAACUGAACUUUUCUGCAUUUGGAUCCUAAACCAUACUGCUCGGAACAGGUCAUUUCCAGUUUUAAGGAUCAAGAAAAAGAAGACGCAAAGAAUGCAGAUAAUGCAAAUGAUGCAGAUAACAACUUUAUAUUGGAUGAUAAUUCCAGGUACUUCAUUAAUCUCAUUUGCUAUCAAAAUCUAUGUUGCUCGGACUCUUCAAAAAUACUGACAGGUGCAUGUUGUAUCCUCCAAAAGUAGUGCAUUUUUUGAGAGUCCGAGCAACAUAAGGUCAAAAUGACAAUAGAUCCUAUUCUAUCAUUCAUCUAUUUGCUACCAAUGCAGCAUUCCAAUCUCUGUUGAGGAGAUUAACAGUUCCCUCAAGGACGUUGAUUUCACCGGUGUAAAACCUGCAAAUGAACUGCUUGAAAAUGCAGCCUUCCAAUUUUUACGCGAAUAAGGCUGAGUUUUCUCCAGCAUGAAAUGCAUGUUUUGUUGGAACGACGUUGUCCAAGUCUCCACGCCAUGAAUACCAACUAUUGUACAUCCAUCAACCUAUUCAUUUUCCUUCCAGACGCGUCUGUUCGUUAUACUGUAACAUCCAAUGCCCCUUGUAAAGUUGCUCAAAAUGUAGUCUUCUUGUAAAAUUGUAGGUCUAGUUUUAGAUAGGAGAAAAGGGGGGAUAAAAGUGAGGAAAUUUUCCAACUUAGAGCUUGUUCCAUUUAGUCUUUUUGUCAUUCAUUUUAGAGUUGUCAUUAGCUAGAUUUUUUGUAACAAGGACUAAUUGGAGUACAAUAUUAUUGUAAAGAGCAAAAAUGGCCAAUUCAGUGUCUCUUUUUUCCCUCUCUUUUCAUUCAAAAUUAUCAUUUCAUACACGAGUCCCAGACUCAACUUGUGAAAUUACACUGAGUAUAUUGUUAUUUUUACACGAGUACGCGAUUUAAGUGGCAAAUUACUAUUACCUCCUUUCCAUUAUAUUAGUUGCAACAUUAGCCAGUGUUGAGAGAUCUCUUGAAAGUCAUCUUUUUUUUGCAUAUGGACACCUAGUAGAGGCUAUAUAGUAAAGAUUCCUAUAUGAAAUUCUUUUUACUCCCCAAAAGAGGGAGACAUGCGACAGAGGCGUAUCAAGGAUUUCGAAAUGAUGAAUGCACUAUUAUGAGAAGGUGGAUUUAAACGAUUUGACAUUUAGGUUCUUAUCAUUGAAAACAAUUGAAAAUAUUAAAUUAUAGGUCCAAAAAUUGAAAUGCUUGAUUAAUUAAAACGCUAAAAGUACUAUCAAUAACCACUUAGAGAGGUUUAUCCAAUUUUAGAAAGGAAAUGAAGAUAGAUAUAAAUUUCAAAGGGAAAAGGGUCUGAUAUACCCCUCAACUUUGUCAUUUGGAGCUGAUACAUCCCUCGUUAUGAAAGUGGCUCAUAUAUGCCCUUACCGUUAUACAAAUGGCUCACAUAUACACCUACCGUUACAAAAUGGCUCACAUAUACCCUUCAUUUGACGAAAGUUAAAUAAUUAGUUUUAAAUUUAUAUUUAUUACUUAUAAUUUUUAAAAAAAAAUUAUUUAGUGGUACAUAUGAUUCUUCUAUAAAAGUUCAAGGUAUAUUUUUUAAUUUUUUUCAUACAUAAAUUAUUUUUUGACUUCUUUUAUUAUAAUUAUUUGAGUUUCUUAUCCUUAUUUUGUUUUUUUCUUUCAUUCCUUAGUUUAAAGAAAAAAAAUUAAACUAUUGUUUUGUGUGUAUUGUAAUUUAAUUUCGUAUUCGGAAAAAAUUUGGUCAUCUACAAUAAGUUUUACAAGAAUAUUAGUGAAACAUAAAUAAAUUUGAUUAUCAAAAUAAUAAUUAUAAAUUAGUCAUUGAAACAAAAAAAAAGUCAAAAAAAAAUAUGUUUGACGAGGAUUUAUUUUACUCAUAUGGAAUUAUAUUUUUUAGAAAAAAAUAAUAAAAAUUUAGAUUGAAAAUUAUUAUUUUUUCAUUUCCGUUAGAGGAAAAGGGUAUGUGUGAGUCAUUUGUUUACAAGUAGGGGUAUAUAUGAGCCACUUUCAUAACAAGUGGUAUAUCAGCUCUAAAUGACAAAGUUGAGAGGUAUAUCAGACCUUUUUCCCAAUUUCAAAUUUCUACCCUCACUAAUAGGUGCACCUAAUCAUAGUUGCAUUAUAUGAUACUCCGAGUGUGGAUUUACACAUCUAAAUACAAAAAAUUAAAAAUAUAACACUAUUAUAUAUGAUUUUGGGAACGCGGUGACCCCCUCCUCAUACACCUCUGUGCCGAUAUAUACAGUUUGCCCAAAUAUGGUUGAGAUAUACAAAAUCUAUACAUUGAUAAUGUAUAUUAUAUGUAUAUGAUACUAAUAUAUACGAAUUAUAUACAUUUUUUCUGGCUAUUUUGUAAAUUAGAUCGCCUAAAGACGUUGAACUCUAACUAUUAUCUCAUAAAGCUCAAAGAAAUGGGCUUACAUUUGAGAAGACUACUUGGGAUUGGGCUCAGUGUGAGAUUGGGCUUAAUGUAUUGGGCUUCAUUUCUGUUGCUAUUGGACUGAACACAAUCCAAACAUAAGCCCAAUAAAACAACACCUCAUUUGUGUUUGGUAAGAUAUUACACGCAACGACGACGUUAAAAAUGGAUAGUCUUGAACUUUUGACCCGCACUUUUUCCUAUGAGCAAACCUUCAAGAUCGGAAGUCAAAAGUUUAGCCAUUGACCUAACGCCAACGAGGUAAAAAAAUUCAACAUCGCUCAUUUCACUGUCAUUACUUGUGAAUCUUCCGUUCUUUGUUUAUUUGUAUCAGAAAAUAUUUCGAUUCAAUAAUUUCAUUGUCGGAAAUGGGACAUGCUUAAAAUUUCAUAAAAUACAAUGAUUUUUUUUCCAAUUCUCUAAGCUUAUCUCGAUUUAUAGGGAGAAAGUCGAAACACAAUAAAAUCAAUAGACCCGCUAUCUAAUCACCUAUUAAGAAUAUUCUUUAAUAAAUCAUCAUUUGGUAUGAUUAAUGCAUGAUCACCAUUUAUGAAUUAAUUAUCAUAAUAUUAAUUAACACAGUACUUAACUUAAUUUUUUUUAUGAUUUUGUUGUGUAUUUAUGUGGUCCUAAAAUGGCUUGGGAUUUCAUUAUGAGAUUUGUUUGUCUAAUAAUUAUGAAUAUUUAAUAUAAUUUUUCAUCAUAUAACUUUCAAUAAUUCCCACUGAGCAUGUCAAUUAUACAUGAUUAACUUCUUCAAACUUCUAAUAUAUAUCUCAAAAUUUAAUAAAAAACUAAUUUAUAAAGCAUGGAAGGUGAAUACAAAAAUCUAUUAGAAAUUCAACCGUUUAUAUAAUAACAAUAUAUUCAAUAUAAUUCUGCAGGUGAGAUCUAAUAAACUUAGAAUGUAUGCAUAUUUUAUCUCCGCGACCUAUUUAUCUGCUCAAAUUCGAUAAUCACAUCACAUUAAAAAAUCAAAAUAAAUUAAUUCCAAAUGGGAUAAUUUGUCACAAUUAUUAAUCUUAAUUAAUUUAACUUUAGCUGCAAAUGCCAUGUUAAAUUUUGUUAAGAAAUCCAUUGACUAAUUAAUUUAAUUUUAGUAAUGAUCUAAAAGAUUAACUAUUCUUAGGGUCAUGUGUAAUCACAUGAAUUUCCAUGUUUUCUAAUUGAUUCCUUUAAUAUCUUUAAUUAAUUUGACUUAUCACAUGAUAUAAAUAUAUCAAAUAUUUUAAUGGGUUUUCAGUUAUUACAGUUAUGGAGUUAGUUGCAUUAAAAUCAUAUAAUUUUAUAGUACAAUCACACAACUGAAUAUAAGAAAUUUUUUAUUAACUUUUUUUUUUGUUAAUAGCACUUUUGGUCCUUCAAUUAUUAAUAAAUUCUAAUUUUGAUCCUUGUUAUAUUUGACUCAACACAUUUGAUAUUUAACUGAUUGAUAUGUGUCUUUGAUUCCUUUAAAUAUUCAUAAAUAUAUCAUAAAUAUUAGCCGUUCCACGAAUUAAUUAAUUAUCAGUGCGUUAUGUUAAGCUUGUAUUGUUACUCUAUAUUUAACGAUAAUAUAAUUCUUUCUUGCCUAAUAGGACUAAAACAUACAUUUCGAUUUAUUGAUGGUUAAAUGUACAAUGACCGCACUCAAAAAUCUAACUGAACACAUUUAACCUUCAAUAAUUGAAAUGUGCAAUUUUUUUCUAUCAUGUUGCUUGUUAAUAUUCACAAAUAAUUCAUCGUAAUUAUUAAUCGUUCCACCAUUUAAUUAUUCACGUGCUGUGUUAAAACUUUUACUCUUAUUAGUCCAUACUUCUUACAUACACUGGCUAAAAAAUACAUUUCAAUUAAUUAAAAGUUAUAACAUAUGCUUCGUCAGAUAUCUCAAAGAAUCGAAAUCAAAAUAUACUUAUAAUUUGAGGACACAAUUAUAUUAUCCCCACUUAUUUAUUUAUUUAUUUAUUGUGGGACAAAAUGUUCUUGGGAAAUUAAAUUGAAUCUAAACUUGAGAGUUUAUUUAGGUUCUUUGGAUUGAGUCAUAUUAUUGAUUAAUUAUUAAUUAAAAGGAUCUGUGAAAACUUUGUCCUUUGAACAUGAAAUCUAGAAAUGGCUUCACAACAAAGUUAAAAAAAUCUAACAUCUUAAUUCAAUGAACUAUUAAGAGAUUUAAGACAUUAUGAUGAGACCAAAAAUAUAAAAAGUACUUUUCCCAAGAAAGGAAAAAAAUGAUUGAAGAACAAGUUAUUAUAAUAUGGUCUUGUUUACUAGCAUUUAUGACAAAAUUGUAUUUAAUGGACUAUGUAAUUUGUGAGAAAAAAGGAAAAAAAUGAUUGAAAAUGCAUUAAGCAAAAGAUGUAAAAUUAUUACGAUAUAAUUGCCUAGCUUACAAGUGAUAUUGUCUAUUCUGGAUAGUUACGAAUAGUAUAAGAAUCAAUUUUAUGUCAGUUUUGUCGAUGUAGAGUUCAACUAAGUGAGAACUACUUUAAAAUUAUUUUUGUUAUUAUCCGGCUUAUAAAUAACAUUAUCUAUUUUAAAUCGUUAUGAAUGAUAUUAGAGGCAAUAAUUUGUUUUGAAUAAUGGCAAACGUGGUAUAUCUCAAACUUACGUUUUUGAUCGUCAAUUUCAAAUAAUGUACCAAGAUUUUAAUUACUCUUUUAUUAAAUAAUAAAUUCAUCCUAAUUAGCCUUUAUAGGUGUCAUCUGUCAACCAUGAAAAUUCAGUAUUUACACAGAUUAAAUAAAUACAUGACAUAUUUUUUCAUAAUACAUAUAUACAUAUCACUAAAUCAUAUGUUAAUAUUUAACAUGUGUGUCACUAUAAUAAAAAUAACUUUUAGCAGCAAUAAAUAUUAAUAUUAAUGUAGAGUGUUAUAGUCUUUACCAGCAUUAGUUAAAUGUCAUUAGAUUCAAUUUCGAUAAAUAUUUUAGGAAUAUAUACAAAGAGUACUAUUAAAUAAUUACCGCUAAAAAUACAUAUUUAACAUCAAUUAAGAAUUAAUUGCCGCUAAUUUUUUAAUAUAGUGUGUGUGUCUUAACAUUUAAUUAACUUAAAUUAUGAUAAAUUAGUAUGAUUUGAUAUAGACGUCAAAUACAUGUAAAUUUUAUCAUAAAUUACAAUUAAAAGACCGUUUAGUCGAAUAUUAUAAAUAACUUUUCUGAUAGCAAACAUUUUAUUCAGUAGUUUUUUUCGAUGCAAAUUCAAUUUAAUCAGAACGAUGACAUUAUAUAACGUACGGAUACUUAUUUAAAGAAAAACAAUAGCGAGAAAAAAACAAACAAGACAUUAAUCUAAUAUGUAUAGUAUUUAAACACAAGUUGCGCCUGAAGUCAUUAAGUCGAUAUUAUUUUCUAAGUAAUGUUCUUAUCUUUUCAUUAUUCAUCAAAACAACAUAAGAUGUACACACAAAGAAAACAUCAAAAUUGAGGACAACAUGAAGAUCUUAAGGGAAGUUGGUAAAAACAAGAAAAGAUUUUUGAGUAUUCCCUAGAUAAUUGCUUAACAUAAUUAUUGAUAGAGUUUAUAGACAUUAAUUUGACUUAAUAGAAAAACAAGUCUUCAUUCAUUCAAAUUCAAAUAUCAAUUGACCUCAUUAACUGAAUCUAAUUAUUGGAAAAACUGCCUCAAUUGAAUGUGCAAAGAAUGAUUCAUAACUAAUAUUAACUAAUUAAUUAUGUGCUCUUACACAUGCACUUCUUUUUGAAUUACUCAGGUCCGAUUAAAUCUGAAUUCACGCAUUAUAACAUGUUCAUUUCUAAGAGAUAAUACUUUUAAUAUGGUUUUUUUCUUUCGUGUCCAAAAUCUCAAAUCUAAAACCUCUGUGAGUAAAAAUACGUUAAAUCAUUCCGCCACAAUCCAGAUUAGUUAGACAUGCACUUAAUUAAUUCCAUGGUCAAUGCCAUUCAUAAGUGUAUCAAGUUUUAAUUUAUUGUUUUGAAUUAGUGAGGUUCAAUUGAAUCUGAAUUCACGCAUUAUAACAUAUUUAUUUCUGGAAGAUAAUACUCUCAACACAGUUUUUUUUUAUAUCCAAAAUCUCAAAUCUAAAACCUUUAUGAGUAAAAAUACGUUAAAUCAUUCCACCACAAUCCAGAUUAGUUAGACAUGAACUUAAUUAAUUCCAUGGUCAAUGCCAAUCAUAAGUGUAUCAAGUUUUAAUUUAUUGUCUUUUUUUCCCCUCUCUUUCUUGUGUCUUUUGACCAUGGCUUCUAUAAUUAGAACAUGACAAAUGAUUUAGGUACCAACUUGUGUUUGUUAAUUCUCAAAUCACAUGAUUAAUUAAUAUAAGAAUAGAUUAAGCUUAUUUAAUAUGUUAAAUCCAAUUUACUUAGUUUUUUUUUAAAAAAAAAUUAAUGUUGGGUAGGGCUACACCAUGGAAAAAAGGAAAUGAUUAUUGGUAGUUGUGCAUAAACAUAUGAAUAUAAAAAGUGGUAGAGAAUCUGAUGCAUGUUCUAAAGCUACUUAUAAGCAUGUAAUUAAACAAUAAAUAUAUAUUAAUCAGAUCAAAGGCGUAUUUAGAAUUUAAAGUUUAUAGGAUUUAGAUUUAAAAUUCUAUCGCGACUUAUCUGCUCCUAUAAUUUAGUGGUUUUGAAUUCAAUUAUUUGUAUUUAUUUAAUGUACUUUAACACGUAAAAAAAGCGAAUCAAAUUAAGUUAUUAAAUUCAUCGAAACAUGUAUAUAUCUCACCUUCUAAAUUCGCGCUUGUUUAGGUCUAGUUAUAAACAAAUCAAUUGUUUUAUUGGUUUGCUUUGUCUCAAGAAUCUUGAUCAAUUGCCUCAAAACAAACAUCGAUCGAUCUCAAUAAUUCAUAAAUUAAAUAUUCAGAGGUGAAUUCUGGAUAUAAAUUUUAUUCAGGAGGUAAUUAUAUUAUAGUAAGCUUAUGGCAUAUAUUAAUGUCUAGUUUGUCCAUGUGAACUUGUGUCAUGUCUCGUAAAUCUCUUUCUGCUUACAUUCCAAUAUGAAAUUUGCCUAAUUAAAUGUCUUUACCCCUAUUUUUUCCUAAUUUACUGAUUUUCGAUAAUCCUUGAUUUUAUACGAUCAAAUUUUUAUUAUUUAGUGACAUAAUAUACUCCACGCUAACUUAUUUUCUCCAUUUUUUUGUAAUAUUACGAGAUAUUAGAAAUGUAAUUGAACCUUCCUAUUUAUGACUUUUGUUAGUAAUUUUAAAAUUCAAUUAUUAGUAAUAUCUACUAUAGAGUUGACUUUUUUUUUCUAUUGAAUAAUUAAGGGGUCAAAGUGCUUUAAUUUUGACUCUACGUGGAAACAUCAUAAAACAAAAUUUUACUAAUUAAGUAGUAUUAAAAAUUGAUCAACGCGUUUGCUUCUUUAUAUCAAGCAAAAAUAAUAAAAUGUUGCCUAAAACAGAAAGUAGGAUUUAUAAGAUCUUUUACUAUUUUAUAUAUUUAUAAAAGUGGUUAAAUACAUUAAAUAAAUGAAAUUAUCUUUACAUUGAUUGAAUUAAAGAAGCAAUGUGAAUAGAAGAUUUAUGAACAUUCUAUGUGCUUUCUAAUUUUGAAAAGUUGCAAUAUUUAGGCAUAGGAAAAAUUCCAUUUCUAGGGGACGGUGGCACUUUGUUUUUACGGUGUUCGAGUUUUUUCACGUAUUUUGAUUAAUUUUUAUGUAUUAAUUUAAUAUUUAAGUUUUUAUUAUUUCGUUUUUGUUUGAUGAUUGAAAUUUGCUUUGAAGUUUGAUUUAUUUUGAUCCAUAUUAAAAAAUUCAGUUUUUGAAGGUAAUACAUUCAUAUCUAAGUCGACUAUAUAAUACUCACAACAUCUUGGGGCCUAUUAAUUUGCAUUAUCGCGCCAAGAAGUCCCACUUAAAGUGACUUCAUAAUCAUGUCAUUUUAGAGUCUGAUGAAUCUAGAUUUACAUCAAAAAAUUUAACUUUUAAAGAUAGCUCUUUAUCAAAAAUAAUUUCAUACUUAAUACAUAAAUUUAAAAUUUUUACUUAAAAUUAAAAAAAUAUUUAUCAUUAUAUCCAUUGUCAUCCAAGUUUUCUUCAAAAGAUAUGAUAAGUCAAAAAUAGGGAAAAUAUCCAAGUACCCCCUCAACCUAUGCCCGAAAUCCCAGAGACACACUUAUACUAUACUAAGGUCCUAUUACCCCUUGAACUUAUUUUAUAUGUAAUUUUCUACCCCUUUUUAGCCUACGUGGCACUAGUUCGAAAAAAAAGUCAACCAUCGUUGGGCCUACAAGAUAGUGCCACGUAAGCUAAAAAGAGAUCAAAAAUUAUUAAUAAAAUAAGUUCAGGGGGGUAAUAGGACCUUAGUAUAGUAUAAGUGUGUCUCUGAGAUUUCGGGCAUAGGUUGAGGGGAUACUUGGACAUUAUCCCUCAAAAAUAAGUAAAAGUUGUACAUAUAAUGCUUGUCAGAGGGUCGGAUUCACUAAGGGAAGGCUUUAACUUAUUUAAUUGCUUAUAUUAAAUUUUGAUUGAUUUAAAUUUAUAUAUUUAAAUUCGAUUAAAAGAAAGUGUUGUUUUAAGAAUAAAAUUCAUCCUUACGCUUUGAGCCUUAGACCUUUAAUUAAGGAAGAAUGAAAUCAAAUUUCGACAAUAAAAAUUUAUAUGAUAGAAAAAAUAUAAGAUCUUUUACUAAAAUUAUUUUCAGAUCAAUAAUUUUGUCAAGCCGUCUCAACAUUAAUAUUAUUUAGGAUAUAUAAAUUAGUUGUCAUGAUAAAUUAAGUUAUAACUGCGAUACUCUUCUUUCAUUUCAUUAAGAAAAUAUUAAGCAAGAAAUCAUCAAAAUUAUUUUAUAUCGUCAAUUUUAUCUUCUUUCAUUUCAUUAAGAAAAUAUUAAGCAAGAAAUCAUCAAAAUUAUUUUAUAUCGUCAAUUUUAUUGAGCCGUCCUGAAUAAAUAUAAUUUAGGAAAUAAAAAGUUGUCAUAAUAAUUUUAAAAAUGAUGAUGUUACUCUUCUUCCAAAGCCCUUGGAAUUAUCUAAACACAAUAAGAACAAACACUAACUUGUUAUUUUUUGCAUGAAAAGAAUAGAUUUCUUUGUUACCUAAGGUUCCAUGCACAUGCAACUCUUCUUUCCCCCACAACAUUUUUAUCUCUUUUAUUAUAUUUUAUUCAUAUAACCUAUGAUAAUGAUACGUAUUCGUUUACAUAUAUGCUUUGUCCCGUUUGAUUUUAUAUGACAUUCUUUUCAAAUUCAUGUUAGAAUGAAUGAUCUCUUUUUUUAACAUUAAUUAAUUUAUAUAUUCAUACGCCUGACGACUUAUUGAUAAUUAUAUUGUAUAUAUAAUUAAAAUGAUAUAUGAAAUGAUUAAAUAAUAUAUUUUAAAUAUUCUUAACUCAAUGAGUUAUUGUAGUUCAGUGAUUAUAUCUCUUUUGAAUCAGGUAGUACUCGUGUGAUUAAAUCUCACUAAUUCUAUUUUUUGAAGCAAAGCUUUUAUUGUGCUAUUUUUGGACAUACUUUAUGAAAUUUCUGACUCCGUCAAUAUUAACUACUGAAAACUUCUAACAUGUUUAGAACAACAAGUACUCGAAGAGUUUUAUUUUUUUAAUGCAUGAACUAGAAGUCUUUUUUUUUCUUGAUUAAACUUCGUGUUCAGUCAAAUCAAAAUAAAAGAGAAUAAAUAUUUAGUAUAGUUGAUUUUAGCAAGAACCAAGAAAUGAUUUUUUUCCUCAAUUUCUUCAUCAAAUUAAACUAAUAGUAGUGAAUGUUUGUCAUGCUACAAAAUACAAUGGUUCUAGGAUUGUGAAGAGGGUAGGCAAAUAGUUGGACUUUGGGGAUUAAUCAACAUGUGUGUAAAUCUCAAGGCUAAUUAAGUGUAGGUUAAUUAUUUGGAAUUUAAUUUAAUUUAAUUGCAACCUAAAUAUUAUAUGGUUUAUAUAUAUAUAUAUAUAUAUAUAUAUAUAUAUAUAUAUAUAUAUAUAUAUAUAUAUAUAUAUAUAUAUAUAUAUAUAUUUGGUUCCAAAUUCCAAAACAAAGAAAUAUGAGUCCUCCCAAGACACAACUAGCCGCUCUUCUUCCACCUACUCCAUGUGGAUGGUUUUGUCAACUUUUUCUCGUAGAAACGAAUUCAAAAUUUAAAUAAGAUAAAUAUUUAAAAAAAUUCGUAUAUAAAACGUAUACGUGUUUAUAGAUGAUUUUAAGAUUUAAAUGUGAUAAAUUCACCGUUAAGGUUUUUAGUGCAUUAAAAUAUGCAUAUAAGUUUACAUUAUUAUUUUUUUAUAUAAUAUGUUCAUAACUUCAUAUAUGUUUGAGAGAGUGUAAAUGAUCGAUCGAGGCACAUGUUAUUAGUCUUGAAAAAUACAAAAGUUAUUAUUCCAACUUCGAAUGAUAAUAUAAUUUUGGUUACUUUAAUUUUUAAUGCAAUUCUUAUCCAAGAUAUUUCUAUUUCUACCAUGUCACACGUGAGUUUAUGUCUCUUUACCUCAAAAUUAGUCGUUUAAUCUUGAGUCAUUAAAAUCUUUCUGAUUUAAUUCGAUUACAUUAUAUGCAAUCGAUAUGUUAUUAUAAGUCAUCAAAAUAUUUUCAAAACGACAUACUUUUUAAUUUGAUAUUCAUUAUAUUAUGUUAAGAAAUGGAGGGCGGAUUAAGUUAUGCUCCGUUUUAAAGCUCGUUUUAAUUUAAAUAACUUUUGAAUAGAUAAUCAAUAACCUACCUGCUCAUAUCUACUAAUUUAAUUUAUUUUGAUCUGUUUAAAUUCAACUCACUUUGUAUUAAGCAAUUGUAAUAUAAUACUUUAUCCCUUGAUAAUAUUGAUGUGUUAUUGUGACAUGCAUAGAGAUAAUACUUGUAGGUACAGUGGUUCACCAUGCAUUUGUCUUUGGACCAGUACCAAAUGGAAUAUAAGAUUCAAAUUUAUAAAAUUUAAAUUAUGAAUUCGCCUUCAAUAAUGAUAAGUUAGUUUGAUUGUAAGCUCCAUUAUCAAUCUUUCUUACCAACACGUGCUUUAUUUAGAUCGUAAAUUAGUCAUAGAACUUUAAUUUUUAAAGUAAAAUUAAAAUGAUUGAAUUAAGAUGAUUUAUUCAAACCUUUUUAUGAGAAAAUUAUAUUGUACAUAGAAAUUUCUAUAAACCAAUAAUGAAUAUUUGUUUCUGAAUGCCAAAUAAAUUACAUAUUUGUUGGAGUAAUAACGAAUAAUGCUAAAUGGCUAGAAAAUUUAGUUAGAAAUUUAUUAAAAAAAUUAAUUUAAAAUUAAUUUUUUUUAAUUUUAUAAUUAAAGUGUAUUAAAAUUACAAGAAUAUAAAUAUUUAAAAAAUAAAACAAAUACCAUUCUUAUCAAUCAAAUUCUAAUCAAAUUUUCUGGCGAAUUUUUUUUUUCUAUUUAACAAUAUAUUUUUUUGGAAGAGCUAUACUUAUUUCAUCGAAGAAAACAUUCUUUUUUUUUGUUCAUUUUUUUUUUGGGAAUACCAAUAAUUAGAAAUAAAAUCUUGGAAAUGCAAAACCUCACAUGUCUCUUGCAUUUUAUCUUGUUAUUUUAAUUUUUGUGUACGUUGGAUAUCUAAAGGACAAAUAAUAUUUAGAAAUAAAAUUUUGUGUUAUUUUUAUUAUUAUAUUUCCAAAUUCAUAUAGUUCUAGAAAUAUAUAUAUAUUACGAUUUCUUCUCCUUUAAGAAUUUUUCCUUAAAAAAAUUAUAUAUAUAUAUAUAUAUAUAUAUAUAUAUAUAUAUAUAUAUAUAUAUAUAUAUAUACCAAUAGUACAAAAAAACUGAGCGUAAUUUAAUACGUGAGUAAGUUAAUUUAUUAUUUUAUCAGAUUAUCAUUGAUAUUUAUUAUAAAAUGACUUAAUUAUAUAAUUAUAAUAUUUUUAAACCUUCAAAGCAUAAAACUUAAAAUUCUAGAAUGAUUAUUAUAAUAUUGACUUUUCUCUUCUUCCUUUUUCCAUCCAAUUAUAUUUUCUCUUUUUUUGCCUUUUUGUAUAUUAAAUUUGGUUAAAUUAAUUUUUUUUUCUUUUUCCCUUUUUGUAUAUUAAAUUUGGUUUAAUUAUCCACCGCCCAUUUAAAAAGCUAAAAUAAUUAACGAACUUCCUCGUGAUUUCAUAAAGUUAUGGAAUAUUUCUUUUACUUAUUUUUUUCGUAGAGAUCAAGUACGUUUAAGUAUUAAAAUUAUUACAACUUGAAUUAAUUUUAAUUAAUCCAAAGAUAAAGUUUGUUGAAUAAAUCAAUAUUAAAUUCUAUAAUCUCAAAAGCUAAGCAGAAAGUUACGCCGACUAAAACAUAUUUUAUUCUAUUUUCUUAUGUUUUUUUUUUUUAAAAAACAACAACUAAAUAUAAUAUAAUCAUUUAUUCCCACAGGCUUUUCACUGUACUUUGUGGGUGCGCUUGGUAGGAAGAAAAUAUUUUUCGCGAAAAAUAUUUUUUUAAGGAAAAUAAGUGAGAUUGUGUCUAAUACGUAAAUAAAAUAUUAUCUUAAGAUAUUUAUAUGUUAUUUAGAUAUAGAAAAUGUAUUAAAAAGUCGAAAAAUAAAGAUAAAAGUGUAUUGAAGGAUUCAAAGGUUAUAUUUACUAUAAAAUGUAAUUUAUGAAACUUGUUUUUCUUAUAUUUAUUAUGAAAAUUUGGUUUUUACAAUUUUUUGAUUAGUCGAGCGCUUUUGUUUAUCUCUUUUAUUAUUUUCGUUUCAGUUCAUGUGAUACAUUUUUUCUCAUUAAUUAUGUUCUAAAAAGAAUGACACGAUAUUUUUAUCUAAAUCAAUAAAUAGUUAAUUUUAUAUAUUUUUAAUGAGAAAAAUUUACUAUCACACAAAUAUUAUGAUGCAUUUAAUUUAACAUGUAUUAAAGUAUUAAUUAUCAAAAAAAAUAAAAUAUUAAACUGAUUAAAGUUAAAUCACAUAAAUUAAAACAGGAAAAGUAUCUGAAUAAUGGUUGCAUAUGUCUAUCAUUAUUUUUAUAAAUUAAAGAGAAAGAAUAUACUCCAUAUAAUCACACACUUACAUGCUCACAAGACCAAUUAAUUAAUCUCAUAUAUUAUAUAUAAUCACAUGAAUAGUAAUGAUUUAUUUGCCUAAUCAUUAUGAUACUUUUGAUUAACAUAAAGUGAUUAAGAACCAUAUUUUCAAUCCUUAAUUAAUUAUCAUAUGAUUUAAUUAUAUCAGAAAUAAUUAGUCCUGAUACAUGAGUAUAACAAUCUUUCUAAUAAUUUUAUGCACAUCUUCCAAAGUUUGGAAAAAAAAAACACAUAUAGACUAUAUUAAUUAAUUGAGAUUAUAUAUUUUAGUCAUGUAGUAUUACUUUAAACCAUAUUUGUUAGGAAUUAAUCUUUAAUUUAAUUAGAUAUAUAUAAUUUAUUAAUUAGUAUAAAUAUAAAGAUUUUCUAGUGUUCAAGAAACUAAGAUUUUACAAUAUCGAUCUUAAAUAAAGUAGCGACCAUGUUCAACUUGCUUAGAACAAAGAGCAAUCAGUUAAACACAGCCUAUCAAAAACUAAAUAAACAUAUGAUGCAUAUUGAUCAAAUUAAGACUUAUUAUGCAUAUAUAAUAUCUGAAAUAUCACUUUUAAAUAUCUUUUACGAAAUUUUUAAUUCUGAUAUAAUUUUUAGAUACGAUGUUAUUGUUAUUGUAGUAUUAGUUGAAACCAAAUAUUUUUUUUUUUGGGAUGUAUAGACAUUUGAUCAACCUAGAGUAACUCAAGCUUUGAUAUGUGCGUUGUCCUAAGAUGAUAUGAUGAGAUUUCACUACAAUCAACUUUGCCAAUAUUCUUCAAAAAACUAAAAAUAUUGAGAUUUUCGAUGGAAAAUUCUUAGAGAACAUUUUCUUUUACGAGUGUUUUUCAAACUGAUAAGUGACGAUUUUGAAAAACUUGUGCUCUUAGGGCAUGUAGACAACUCAAUAUGUUUGUUUUUUUUUUACUAUAAGAAACUUCCUAUAAAAUUUUAGUUGAAAAUUAGAAGAUAUUGGGAAAUAGCUACACCUCAUGUUUUUUGUUGGUUUUGUUUGUUUUUUUGAAGGGUGUGAUUAUGGGUUUUCAUGCUCAAUGGUACUUUUAGGUGGAAAAGAAUGGAAGUGAGAUAAUAACAAUUAAAAAAAAAAAAUUGGAAUGUAGUGUAAAAUUUUAUUUUAUUUUUAGAAAAUAUAUAUUUUAUUUCUUGGAAGAAAAUAAAUAUAAGGAUAAGGAGGAGAAGACAUAUUUACACACACUCUCUUUAUCUCUCUCUCUCUCCUCACAUGAAUAAAACUAUAUAAUAAGUAUCAAAAAAUAAAUCGAUGACUUUUAUUUUAUUCGAUCGAAUUUAAAAUAAAAGUCGAAUUAAUUAAUUUUAAUUUUAAUCAAAAAGUAUGAACCUCUAAUAUAUGAUAUCAAAAUUCAUAAGCAAUUAAUCACUAUAUCCAAUUCAAUUUAAUUUUAACUUUUCUCUCCGUCCAAAUAACAAACAAAUGAAGCAAAUAAUUUAAUUGCUUCCCUUUUUUUCUUUUUAUUUUUUUGGUCCAUUUUUAAAAUAAGAAAACUCAAGCAUUUGUAUCAAGUCAACACAUUAAUUAAGCCGUGUGAUGCUUUUUACUAAAAAUAGGGCAAAUUGAUUUUUCCAAAAAUCUUAAUUAUUUUGCUAUUCCAAAAUCAAUUUAUGUGUAAUUUAACCAAAAAAACAUUAUGUGGGGGUGGGAGGAUAAAUAGCUGCGGAGUGAAAAGAAUAAUAAACUUGAAAUAUUAGUUAUAAAAUUAGCGAAGACAAUUUCCUCGUUUUUAAGGAAGAAAUGUAUGUUUCAAAAGGGGUCAUAAAAUGAACUCGGAAGGGAAGCUACAAGAGCAGGAGGAACACUUUGAUUAAUCGUAGUCAAGUCGAGUGAUCAAUGAUAUAGAUUGGGUACAAUUACUGAUACUCGUUGGUGGAAAGAGACAAUAUCUCAUAAACAAAAUGUGUGCAAGAAGAUCCAGACAUCAAAAUUAUUAAAAAAACAAAUUAAUUUACCAAACAUGAAAAAAUUGAAAUUUGAUAGAUUGGAUACCAUUACUGAUACUCGUUGGUGGAAAGAGACAAUAUCUCAUGAACAAAAUGUGUGCAAGAAGAUCCGAACAUCAAAACUAUAAAAAAAGAUAUUAAUUUACCGAACAUGAAAAAAUUGAAAUUUGAGUCGGAGUCUUUUGACUAUCAUAUUUACCCUCAACUUGAUAUAUCUUAGCUGGAGCAAAUAUGUAACAAAGUGCAAUUCAAAUACAUGAAAGCUCAAAUUUGUAGGUUGACUCCAAAUAUGUGACAAAUUUAUGACUUAUUUUGGUUGCAAAAAAUAAUAAAUUAUAUUUAAUGUACAAGUUAGUUUGAGUUCACACAGGCCAUACUAUAUAGUAGCAUAGCAUGCAUAGCUUGGACAUAGAUGAAAUACUUUAUAGAAGUCUUUACAUUGAAUGUGGGGUCUCUCAUUAAUAAUAUACUCCCUCCGUCUCAAAAUACCUGUCAUAAUAAAAAUUCAAGAAAAAAAUAAUCAAUUUUCUCUCAUUUUACCAUUAGCGUCAAUUGUUCUUAAAGACUAUAAAUACCUCGACUACGACAUGUAAAUAGAGUAUAACAUUCAGAUAUAAAUAAGGAUGCAACAACAACAAUAUAUCCAGUAAAAUCACACUAAGCAGGAUUUGAGGAGGAUAGAACGUAACGCAGACCUUACUACUUCCUCAAUGAGGUAGAGAGGUUAUUUAUAAUUAACCCUCGGCUCAAGUAUAAAAGGACGAAAAUAAGAUUAAAAUAAUCAAAUACCCUUCUUAAUUAAUAUUUUCUUAAGCAUGUAAAUGAAAAAUACGACAAGUAGUUUGAAACGGAGGAAGUAUACAGAUUUAGUAGUCAAAUACCUAUUCUGAUUAAUAUUUUCUUAAAGGUCGUGUAAAUGAUGAACACGAUAAGUAUUUUGAGACAGAUGGAAGUAUAUAGGUUCAAAGGGAGUUAAAACAAUUUUAUAUAGUAUAGCUUAUAGGUAGAUACAUUAAUUAAAAGAAUAUAUGUUCAUAUCAAAACAAAGUAAGGGAGAAGACCACAAACUUAAUCAUAUGAAAAGGACAAUAAACACAUCAUUUUCAAAUCCUAAUUACAUCCCCCACACCCCUACCCAACCCCCACCCCUCUCAUGGCCAACUUCCCCCUUAUUUAAACCUCUCUAUUCCUCUAAACCCUCUCCACACAAUUCAUUGUCAACUUGAAAACUCAUAAUAUUUCUCUUUUCUCCUCCUUGAUCUUCAACAACAACAAAACAAAAAAAAAAAUUGCAAGAAAAACAAAAGUUGAGUUCAUUGCAUAUUUCUAGAACUUAUCUUGAUGAAUCAAUAUUGUAAUAGUCCUUGUUCACCACUAAUGGUUCAUGAACUUGAACAAGAAGACUUGUUUGCUGGUAGAUGUAUACUAGUAAAUGGUCCUGUUAUUAUUGGUGCUGGUCCUUCAGGACUAGCAGUUGGCGCGGGCCUUAAACAACAAGGGGUUCCCUUUGUGAUCUUAGACCGCGCCAACUGCAUUGCAUCCUUAUGGCAAAACAGGACGUAUGAUCGCCUUAAACUUCACCUCCCGCGACAAUUCUGUGAAUUGCGUUACUUCCCAUUUCCACAAAACUUCCCUGAGUAUCCUACCAAGUAUCAAUUCAUUAGCUACCUUGAAUCUUAUGCCAAGAACUUCGAGAUCAGCCCACGAUUCAAUGAGUCGGUCCACUCUGCUAAGUAUGAUGAAACAUGUGGUUUAUGGAGGGUGAAGACAGUGUGUAGAAAUGGUUCAGUCAUUGAAUAUAUAUGUAGGUGGCUUGUGGUGGCUACAGGAGAGAAUGCAGAAAGAGUAGUGCCCGAAUUCGAAGGAUUAGAAGAUUUUGGUGGACAUAUUAUGCAUGCUUGUGACUAUAAAACAGGGGAAGUUUAUGAAGGGAAGAAUGUGUUAGUUGUUGGAUGUGGUAAUUCAGGCAUGGAAGUUUCACUUGAUCUUUGUCACCAUAAUGCAAGUCCAUUCAUGGUCGUUCGAAGCUCGGUAAGUCUCAUUCAUCUAAUCCAAAAUCUUUCAUGACUUACAUCUGCUAAAGAAGAAAAAAAAAAACACUCAAUUUCCUUCAUAAAUCUGCACACGACAUAUCGAAUUCCUCAUGACACAUACAUAAGAGGUCACUCCUUUAAUAAUCUACAUGAUUUACGUUUUCUAAGAGAAAAAAACACUCAAUUAACUUGAGCGCGUUUUGUCUAUGUCCUUCAUUUGCCAGAAAAUCUGCACUUGACAUCUCUAAUUCCUCAUCACAAGUCUAUAUAUAUAAUCAUCAUAUGAUAUGUAAUGAAAUAAUCAAUCUAGAAAAUCUGCACCUGACAUCGCUAAUUCCUCAUCACAAAUAUAUAAUCAUAUGAUAUCUAAUGAAAUAAUCAAUCUUUUCAUGAAACAGGUUCAUGUUUUACCAAGGGAAAUACUCGGAAAAUCAACGUUUGAGUUAGGAGUAUCAAUGAUGAAAUGGCUAUCAAUUGAUGUAGUUGACAAGAUAUUACUAGUUGCAGCAAGGUUACUUCUUGGAAACAUAGAAAAGUAUGGUUUAAAAAGGCCAUCCAUUGGACCUUUACAACUCAAGAAUACAGAAGGAAAAACUCCAGUUCUAGACAUAGGUGCAUUACAAAAGAUUAAAACAGGAGACAUAAAGAUAGUUCCAGCAAUCAAAAAAUUUUCUCAAGGAAAAGUAGAAUUUGUCAAUGGAGAAAUACAAGAAAUUGAUUGUAUCAUUUUGGCAACAGGAUAUUGCAGCAAUGUUCCUUCUUGGUUAAAGGUAAGAAAAAAAAAUAUUUUUUUUAUUUUUAUUUUGGUUGUGUAUUUAUUUUUUAAUUUAUGGAUUGUUGUGACAGUUAUGGAAGUUGGUUUUUUUCUUUGUAGAUUCUCUGUUCCUAUUUCUUGUAGCAUUGUUAUGUAUGAUCAGGUGGAUGAUACACGUAUUCUUUUAUACUAUGGUAAUUAAUAUUUUCAGAAACAAGAUUGAGCUUUCCAAGAAAAUAGUUGAAUGGAUUAGAUCAGAGAUCUGAGCAGCAAAUAAAAUUCUGUUUUUUGUCCUUUUUUCUAUGUUCAAGAAUAUUUUCAUUGAAUUUUGGUAUAAUGAGUUUGUAUUCAUUUUUAAAAUGCAGGAAAGUGAAUUCUUUUCAAGGGAGGGAUUUCCAAGAAGUCCAUUUCCAAAUGGAUGGAAAGGAAAAGCUGGUUUAUAUGCAGUUGGAUUUACAAAGAGAGGACUUUCUGGUGCAUCUUUGGAUGCAAUUAAAGUAUCACAAGAUAUUGGAAAAAUUUGGAAAGAAGAAAUUAAACAGAAAAAUCAAUCUGUUGCUGUUGCAUGUCAUAGAAGAAACAAGUUAUCUUCCUUCUAGUAAACGACAACAACAUACUCAGCAUAGUCCUACAAGUAGAAUCUGGAGAGGGUAGUGUGUACGCACAUCUUACCUCUAUCUAUUGUUUCUAAUAGACCCUCCAAGUUACCCUUCUAAUAUAAUUUUUUUAUAUUUUUUUUUUAACUUUUUACCUUUUCUUCCUGUAAUUUUUACUUGCAAAGUAACCAAAAAAAAAAAAAAGUAAAGACCAUUUUGUGACAAGAGACAAACACAGAAAGCAGCCCUGUCCAGAGAAAUACCCAAAUUCUUCUUUGGGCAUUUUAGUAGGAAGAAGAGGCUUUUUUUAGCAUCUACUUCUAAGGAGAAAUUUGUACAAAAGGUUUAUUAAUAUAUGUACUAAUAGAAAAAAUGUGACUAUAUAUAUAUAUAUAUAUCCUUUUCUUGGUAAGUAAUUUAACCAGUAUCUUUUAAAUAGUAAGGGAGGUUAUACAGUAGUCCCUAGCCAAUAUAUAUAUAUAUAUAUAUAUAUAUAGAUUAUACACAAUUCCACACAUAUAUUAUGUAAAUCAUGAGCUAAGUUGUAGAGACUCUUCAAAAAGAUCGAUGGAUAUGUAUCGUUGGGGGAAUCUAACAUAGAUGUGACAACAUUUUUGGAGUCCGAGCAACAUAAAUAAUGAGGGCUUCAAGGCCUGUGAAGGGAAAUUAACCUUCUGAUAUUGUAAAAGUUGGUUAAAGAAUGGUCAAGGGUAAUAGGAAGGUUCUCUCACUCAAUAAAUUUUGGUCCACCUAAGUCAUUUAUUCUACUGAUGGGAUCUAUCUCUAGAACAUGGUCCACCUAGGGGCCCCAUUAAAUAUGGUGGACCAAAAUAUCCAUAAUUCCACAACAUCCAUUCUUUAAAUUUAAAGAUGACAUAGACUUUUCACUAGUUUAGUUCAAGAAAAUACCUAUGCAUAACUCUUAGAGCACCUCCAUGUUGCCAAGCACAUGGAUAGAGCCCACAGAGAAGAGAGAAACAUAGGGGGUAAAAAGAUCCCCUUGCCUUCAAGUCAAACUUGGAAGGUAUUCUGUCUAUAUUGCUAGGACUCUUUAAAAAUGUCACUAUGUGCAUGUCGGAUCUAUCCUCCGAAAGUAGCACAUUUUUUAACCAGUCUUAGCAACAUACAAUUCAAUGGUAAAAGCACAACAUGUUAUGAGUGUUUUACACUUUGUUGUGGACAAUAACCUGGUAUAUAGAAAAGGUAAAGGAACAAACUCACUAUUCAUUGAGUUUCGAACCAUGCACCAGCUAACUAGCCCUCAGAAAUUUCUCGAUUAUAAGAACGAAAAAGUCAAACUUGGAGAAUAGUUUGAUACUAUUUGAUCUUUCUAAAUCUUUCACAUGUAUAAUAUAAUAUACUUUUAAGAGGUUUCUCAAAUUGGAUAGAAUUUAGAACACCAUACCUCAGACCAAUGCCAUAUGAGUCUAGCUAGCUCAGUCAUUGUCACCUAGUAAAGUGAGAAGAUUAUCUUGAACUUUAUAGGGGUACAACUUCAUGGAUUGGAUAGUUCAAAGAGUCAUCCUGAAGUUAUCAUAUUCCCCUCUUCACAAGUCAAAAUAUUUAUAACAUUGACUCACAAUAUCUCAUUAUAACAGAUUGCCUUACCAAAAAUAGAAAAAUAUGAAAAAUAGAAACAAUGAAUAAUUUUAUCCAUCUAGCCUAGCCACACCUAUCAGCAAAUCCUAUAUGAAUCAUUGCCAUGUUAGCAUCCUAAAUUUUUUUCUCCUGUAUCAAUCUUCUUUAUUUGGUUCCUGUACAAUGUCCAUAAACUGAAAUGUCCUAAGAGCAUCACAUUGUAACAAUAGAUGCCUCGUUCAUCAUUCGAAUUUUUAAUUCUCUCUAUCUUUUCUAAUAAGAAUCUAAAAGAGAUAGGAUGAGGGAGACAGAAUAUACAUUUGAUAGUCAGUUCGAUGAAUAAAAAUCUCGAGAAAACUAUUCAAUUGAAUCAUUGGGGAAGGGGGAAGAAGAAGGUUGAUUAUAGGUUCAGAGGAGUGGUCCAUGGUUGUCUCCUUGGUAACAAAUAUUAUUUCCUGUUAUGUAACAAUCUUAUAAUAUAAAAAAAUGGGAAUUGAACUUCUUUUCAAUGAGAUCCAACAUGACUUAAAUUUCCCAUUGCACAAUGAACAAAGAACAUAAAAAAAAUUCCACUGACAGAAAAGAUUUAAACAAAAAGAAGAAAAUCCAAAGAAGUAGUACAUAUAUAGACAACCCAUAUGAGUUCCCAUGCUGUUGAAUCAACCAUGCAGCAAACCUUUAUCUACUGUCCCAUCUAGAAUUGCUUCACCACCACAUAAAAAAAAUUCUUGUAAAAACAAAUAUAGAUAUAUUAUAUACAAAAAAAGACAGUUUCAAACCUUAAAUUAAUGAAUGUAAAACACACACAGCUCAUGUUCCUCAACUUGAUCCAUGCAAAGUGUUUGAAUUUAACACUUCUCUACCAGGAACCUACAGUUUCUAUUAUGUCUUUUUGCAGUGUAACUUGUAUUUUUUUCCACACCUUGCAACCAGGGGCAGAGCUACAGUUCUGCCUACGGAUUCGACAUUAUUGAGAAAUACAAGUAAAAGCUUUUAGAUGAGAUGAUCAAACACUUCAACAGACACAACUCAAUAGCUGUAUUUGUGUUUUAAAAUUUAUUUACUACGAUUAGAUAAGAGUGUAAUCCCACCUGCAAGGUCUGCGGAGGGUUUAGUGUUUGAACACCUUACCUCAUCUCGUGGAGGUUAAAAUUUAUUUAAUAUGUAUAAAUAAUAUAUCCAUAAAUCAGUAAGCUACAUUUUCUAGAAUUCAGAACUCGUAAACUCAAAAUUCUUGUUCCGCCUCAGCUUGCAAACCUAUUAUUAGAUAUCACUUUUACCGAGAGAGAAAUACACAUGGCCUGGGUCACUAACUAUAUCCUCAAAGUUCCAUGAGAAAGCCCAUUCCUUCAUGCCCUGAUAAGCAGUCAAUUUGCAAGUGUUAACUUGAGUUGGAUGGUGGACACUACAUCUUUGUAUCUUACUGUUGCAUGUCCUACUAGAAGAGUGUGUAUCCUGUGAUUGGUGAAGUUAAAAUAUAUGAAGCUUAUAUAGGUGUCCCAUAUAAAACAUGAGAUAAUAGUGGUGGAGCACCCUUGUCCAAGGGGUGUCAAUUUGUUGAAAAAUCACAUUGUAUAGAUAGAUAAGAAAAUUCAUAUAUACUAUAUGUUGAAUCUCCUUUACUUCUUCGUGUAUUUUUACCGACUUCCCUUGGUGAAAUCACAGUCCACCAAUCAUCUUUCAUAAUCAUUGACUAAUACUUUUAACCAUUUCCAAAAGAAAUUUGAAAAAUGAAUUUACAUAUCAUAGUACUUUGAACAUGGAUUGAAACGAUGUUUCGAAAAAUAUAAAUCAUCUUUCAGACUUCACACUGGAGAUAGGUUGAAAUGACUCUUGAUAAACUACAUAUCACAUUCAGUUUGAACCAGAAGACAAACAGAACAAUAUCUUAAGCAAAGCUAAAUCAAAUGUGAUAUCAUGGAUUUACUAUCAAAAGCACAAGCAUUUGAAACUAAAUCACAUACAUGAAGAGUUGUUUUUACCAAUGGUCAACAUAGUUAAUUAUUAUAAAAGGAAUUACAAUUCUAUCAAAAAGAGUUAAUUCUGAUGUGUGUUUAAUUAGACACUAUACACGUACAUGAAGAGUUGCAAUCACCAACAUUUUUUUGAUAACCAUGGUGUACGGGUUAGCUCGCACGCACCUCGACUACUCUAUGGGAUACUUGCUACCUUCCACCAGCAUAGGUACCGGAUAACUUUGUUCACCAAAGCUUGAGUUGCAAAUGCCAAAGUUCUACCAUCAAAUUAUUCACUUUUUGGAAAGCAUUUGAUCAAUUUCUCCACUCUCGUUGUACAUGCUAACAAUUUUCUUUGCAUAUUCAGGCAUAUGUCUGUCCGCUCUGCAAUUACACAAAAAACACGUGUGAGAAAAAAUUAAUGUAAUCCAUCAUAAUGGAACAAAUAUGAAUUUCUACAGACCUUUCUUUUCCCCAUUUGCGGACUACGUUUAAGUAAUUUCUGAUUGUGUGAUAAUCUAGCGAGUAACGUGCAAAUUCUAGACCCUUCGGUCCGACCUGAACCAAGACAAACAAGUUUAAGCACAGGGAAUUUGUUGUCCUUUCUGAAAGUAACAAGUCAGUGAACAAAAAGUUCUUACUAUGUUGAGAAGAAAUGCUAUUAAAUUUCCAACAAACUUUGGAGCAGGUUGAGAAGGACCUCUUCCUGGAAAUUCAGAAAGUUUCUGCAUAAGUCUUGUGAGAUUACUGAGAAGUUGUUCAACAAAAAUAUUUACUUCAAGAACAUGUCAGAAAAGGAUUUACUUCUCGGGGUUCUGCCUUCAGCAUACUGUAAUCAACGGGGAGUAUCAUAACAAAUGAAGUAAUUGAAGCAACUUAAAUAGCUAAAUUCACUUGACUUACAAGGAUUAAAACAAAUUAAGGUUAAUCUUAAAUAAACAGUCGAUGAGAUGUGUAACAUUUCAUACUUUUUAACAGCAUUCAAAGCGAAAAGGGAUAGGGAAAAAGGUCAGAUGUUUGAUACUUGCACAUGGACCCAACAAAGAACAGUACAAAACCCGAGAGCAGAUAUCUAAUUCUGAACCAGCAGCAGUAUGUGUACAGAGAGAGCCAGCUUAGUAACAACUUAUGAAAUGAAUAAAUAUCACAAAAUACCACAUACCAAAUUUUGCUUCAUCAUCUGCCUUCACGGUUUCCACGACAAAUGGACGCCGCUUACCCUGAAAAAAGAUGCAUGCUUUGAAAUAAGUAUAUCACAAGAAAGAGUUAAAAGAAAAAGUUGUGAGAUGAAGCAUCAUGUAUUACACUACUUAUCGUCGGAGUAAUUUCCAAGAGGUUCUCGAUAAGGUUUAGCAUUUCUCUACCACGUUCAUUUCUGCAUUUGGAAUGUGCAAAAGUAUAUCUUAAACAAGAUUAUUUAAGGGUAGAGCUAUCAGCAUGUCCUUUUAAUCUGUCAACGGCUUAUAAGAUUUGGCAACACUUUACCUGACAGUAACAUACUGGGGAUGCUGCAUCAUGCUGAUUCCACUGUAUUUCGGCACACCCAUGUAUCCCACCACCAAAUCCUGACAAGUUCCUUGAAGGUAAGAUUUGAAAUGUUGGCAUAUGCACCGGGAUUAUCAAGCUUUGCUUUUAUUUAAACGAAAUAAUCUGUCACGUUAAUGUUUGGAAACUACUGUAAUAGAGAAAGACAUCGACUAAUAAAUCUUCCAAGGAGCAAAAAUACUUAAUUUUCAUGGAUAAUAAGAUAUGCAGCAUCGAAUCUUCAAUGAUACGAUUCUAGAAACCUUAAAGAGUAAACUUAUGACGGAACCAUAAUGCAUUACCAUCCAAGACCAAAAUGAGUUUGCUAAAAGAUCCCCCUUGGACCUCAACCACUGAAUCUUAUCUCCAGAUCUGUCACAAGCUUUCACUUGAAAACAGUUGGAGCAAAUGAGUGGCCAGGUCUAGCUCUAGAACCUAUAAAUUCCUCAAUGAUCGAGGCUGCCUUUGCAAAACCUCUUUCCCUGUCAGAAAACUACGCACUAGAAAAAGAUCUGUUUGUGAGACAUAAAGAGAGAAGAGAUCUAUUCAAGAUUAACGAUUUGAUGACUAUAAUACAGACCUAUUUAUAAGUUCCAAACAUAGUAGACAAAUAGACAUUUGCAAAUGCAGGAAAUUACACCAGUAAAAUUUAAUAUUCCACCAGUAACACAUCACCUUUCAGAAUCUAAGACUAAUCAAAGUAGCAUUUAAGAGUAUGCUUUCCUUUGCUAUUUGAAAGUCUAACACAUGUGUAUGUACUGUGCACAUGCUUCUCUUGGAUGUUUAUUUUGUCUGUUUCUUUGUGAAAAUUGUAUUGUGCAAUAUAUCAGGGCCUUUAAUUAUGAACAAAGAACUCACCGCCAAGCCAUUUGUGUAGUCAAAACAGCUGUAAUAGAAGGAAAUAACAGUUUACAGAUCAGCACAAGUUCAUAUUCUGAAGAAUGAGAGACAGGAAUGAAAUAUAUGAUAAAUGCGAAUGUAGGAAACGUGAAGCUUGUAUAGAAUGUUCAUUUAGACUUCUCCAACUGCAUAGCAUCUUUACAUUUGUAGACAAGCUGAAAUCCAUGUUGACAUUGUCUAAAAGAAUGUGUUAUUAGUUUGAUUGAUUUCUUUGUUGCCUAAACUGACACGGCAGGGAAUGCUACCAUAUGCAAUAAACCCAACGACAAGUAUAGUUUUACAUGGCUUAUCCAACUUGAUUUAACCCAAUUGUCCAUAUCAGAGCGACAACUUACAAGUGAGAACCAGAGAUCACAUAGAACGUAAUAAGCCCAUGACACUACCUUCGUGCACAUACUAACAUACUUAUGUAUACUUCUCCCUAGUUUAUGCUCCACAAGUGAAGGAAUUUCUCAAUACGAAUGUAACUGAAAAAUAAAUAUAUUAACUAUUAGGAAGAAAGACGGUUCCUGAAGAUUUUGUUUGUCAUCAAAUUUGUUAAUCUACAUAAUCUUUGUCUGCACACCAAAUUUUCUUCCACAGAUUUUCACCCUUACUCCAUGAACAAAGUAUCUAGAAUAGUUUGACCAAGAACGGAUAUUACGAGCAUUAUUGAGAUCAUUGUUUCUUUUGAUUCAUAAGUGGGUCCAAAAAUGAGAUGGGAAGUUACAUUUCUAUGAACUUCAUAAGAAAAAUAGUUGGCAUGCAAUAAUUUUUCGAGUAAUUAACACAUUUUUUUAAAAAAGAAUAUCCAGUAGAUCGUCUAAGUAGCUCACUUAGAGAAUGUCGCCUACGACGGUUUGACUACAUCCCACAUAAACUUCCAUAUCCAUAUAGGUGAUACCAACUAGAUAGGAUGCAGUCAUUGAAGCAUAGUUGUUGCUACGCUUGCAUAAGUGCUUGUCAAGGGUCUUUUUAUUCUUGUUGAAAACUAGUAUAUCCACGUAGGGAUAAGGGUGAUAUUUCACAUCUUUAGUUUGCUACGGUUCCCUGCGGUCCAAACCCGGUGCCGCUUUAGGUUAGGGAGCUGGACGAUACCUUAUAACACGAAUUAUUAGAUAUUGGAAAAAAAUUGACCUAACAGAGCACAAUGGAUGCUGAGGAUACAUAAAGCCACCCAAACUAAUGUAGGAUUAAUUUAUAGUUGAUUGACUAAUUGGAUCAACUCAUAGAGGGAAAGAAAGAAUCAUUUCCAUGAGCACAAAGAGAUGGAACAAAAAAAUUAUAUUCAGACUUGUCCACCACCGACCUCUGACCCAAAAAGUCUACAGGUUAAGUAUGCAGAUAUUGUUUAAAGGCUUCAGUAAAUCAAUAAUAAGCAAUUGAAAUACCUGUAACAAGAUGGUGCAAUAACAUCAACCAAGUCAUUUGCUGGUAAACAGAAAUAGGGAACCUGCUUAGUGAAAUAUAGAUCUGAAUAAACAGCAUUCAAAUAAAACAAAAGAUACGAAAAAGAAGAUGCUAUUUUACCUCUUCAAUAUGGCCAUCCAAAUGCUUCAGAUGGACCUGUUGAAAUGUAGAGCUUAGACAGAUGCUUCAACUGAUUAGAAAACUAUCACAUGCAAUUCAAUAGUAUAUCCUUUAAAUCAUAGUAAAAGAAGAAAGCUAUAAUAUGGUUUACAGGAUUAACUGUCAAAUGUUUUCAUCUAUAAGGUGAUGAAGCACAUGUGAGCUUAAUUUAGUCUUUCUCAUUUGCAAGAUCCUACUUAUUGGUAAAUUUCUGAUCCAACAAAGGAUAGUAACCCUCCAUCAAAUUCAACACGACACCAGCGGACGAGGCAUGGUACUUGAGAUAUUAAUUUGAUUUGUGUAUUUUAUAGGUAGUAGUUGAGGAAAAUUUUAAAAUAUUUUUGUAAACGAAAUUAGGUUGACAUAGAAAUGCCAAAUCAAACCUUAAUAAUUUGACUAUUCAAACAUAUUAAAAUUUGAGAAACUGAUGAAGUUGUAUAAAGUUAUAUUGUUAGUAAGAUGGUGUCAAAGAUUUUUGUACGCCCAAAAUAAAGAUGUGUCAUAUAAAAUUUAUCAGGAUGGAGACAAUAUGAUAUAUUGAAGUGCAUCUUCAUGAGUGAACUUACCUCACCAACCAAAUGAAAACAUAUUCUAGAAAAGCACCCUAGUUAUCAGACUAAGAAAGGCUGUUUACUGAUGUUUUAGAAUACAACAGAAGCAGAAAACAUAUCGUCAUGACAAACACAGAAUGUAGAAGUUGGUUUCCUUGUUCUUAUACUUGAAUGGAUAGAAUUCCAAGAUCACAGAGGUUAUGCAUAAGUUGUCUCACAAUGAAGCUCAGCUUGUCAUAAAAGAGUAACAGGAGCUUACUUUUUUUUCUUUAUGGAAGAAAUAUAACAGUAGCACACCUUGUAGUCUUGCAUAAACUCAUAGUGGAGAACUGUUUCAGGUUCACUGCUAGCAGCCUUCAGAAAUUUAUCUAAACCUUCUCGUGGUCCAUUAUCCACUGUUGAGAAAUGACAGUUAGUAUAGGUCUAUAUUGACUAAAAAUAUCUAAGAGGGGAAAGGAGAUUCUAAUAAAAAGCAGUUUAUAGAGCAUCCCUCUUACUAUAUACUCCCUCCAUUUCAAUUAAUUGUCUUAUUCCUUUUCAGUCCGUUUCGAAAAAAAUAUUUCUUUCCCUUUCCUGAAACUCUAUAAUUCCAACUUUCCACAUAGCCUGUUUGAAACCACGAGUUAAGAGGUAUUUUGGUACAUUCUACAUAUUUAUAGUUUAAGAGUUAAGACCACGAAAUUCAAAAAGUUUUCUUUACUUUCUUAAACUUUGUGACAAGUAAAAACCACACAAACAAGUUGAAACAGAGGGAGUAUCAUAAAAGAUUCCAUUGAAUCUUUGUCCAGUUUGUCCACUUACUAUAUGUCUUAUUUUCUCUCCCUGCUUCUGUGGUGGACAAACUGAAAAAAUUAAGUUGACUCUUUUUUGAGAUACUAACAACAAACAAGUACUCCUACUGGUGAUGUUAAUAGAUCAAACUUUUUGUUAUUUAAUUUAAAAAAAGAUCAAAAUUAGAUCUCCAAACACACGUAAUUACAAACAUAAUCAAAUUUCAAGCAGUUGGUAGUUAUAUUAGAAUUGAUCAAAGAUGUAGGAAAGGAGUCUAUGAAUACCACCGACUACUCACCACAGUUAGUGCCUAGAACAUAAAGUUUUUCCAGAUUCAAAUAUUGCUCCACUGAUCUUAAAGCUGCAAGUUAGGAAAUUGUUCUGCUUAAAAUACAGAGAUGUAAAUUGUAAUGACAACAUCAAGUUUGAAGCAGAGAUGAAGAGAUCAUAACAACUUGGAUACCUUGAACUUGGCAGCCAACCCCGCAGAAGAGAAGGCGCUUUACACCAGCUGCCUGUUUCCAGGAAACAAUACUGCUUACUUCAACAUUUGAACUACAAGUUAUACUAUACACUUGUGUGACAAUCCUCAGUGAAAACUGGAAUCUCUUAAAGCCCAGUUUUUAAUGCAUUAGAGCAUGCACGACUAGAAAGUGUGAAAUUCCAUGAUUGCAUUGUUAUGAAAAGAAAUAACAAGAAGCCUACCCUUACAAGUGUGAUAUGCAGAUGGUUGAUGCUUACCAAAAGAAAGGGAGAAAGCAUUUGGGGAGAAAUAAGCUCAAAUAGUUAAAAUAAAGUCAAAAAAUAACCUACGACCUUCAAAUGGAUAGAGAGGAAAAAUUUGGCAAAAAGACUCUGAAAUUGUCAGGAAAGGAAUUCAGCUCGAACCAUAAUAUGGAACAAAUCAGAAAAUCAAAAGAGCUUAUCUUAAUAAAAUCCCCGAUUGGGGCAAUUACAGUAUUAGAUUGUGGUGGUCUGACGGGGGGAGGGGGGGUGAUAGUAAAGCUAAUUUGGUGGUGUGGUGAAGAAUAAGAAAGCAUAGCUACACAAGUUCCAAUUACCUAUUGAGGAGAGAUAUGGCAUCUUCAAUCCAUGACAACAUGCUCCAUUAAGAAUUCAAUAGAGUUACACAGAUUAUAAAUGCAUUGAUGACAACAGAACAAUCAAAGAUUCUGAUGAUAAUGGAAGUGAAAGAAGAAACCUCAACUAAGGCAAGAGUAUUUAGAUUAGGAGACAGUGUCGGCUUAACACCUUUAGCUGCUAUAACUUCCUCUGGAGUCCUAUUAGAAACAUAAAAUUAAAGUUGAAGAUCGAAAUGGUUAAAUUAACAGGUAAAAAAUCAACAUGAAUACAAAUAGCUCAGGAAUUCCCAGUCACAAACCUUGCCAGGACAGGUCGAGGAGCAAAUCGAUCUUCUGGAUCACUAAACAACAUAAAAAAAAGAAGGUAAAGAGUCCAUGAAUUGCUGGGUAAUAAGUAGAAGAAAGAAACCAAAAUUUCAAGUGCAUAACUCAUGUACAGUGAAAUUAACCAGGAGGGAGAACUAAAUUAUUUUUAACCAAAUUGGAUGCAAGCCAUACCUCUGAACACAAAUAACAGCUUCCACCAUCCCAGCUUUUAGCAUCUCCACGGCAAUAGUUGUCACUAUCCCCGUCCAUUGAGCUCCUGAAUGCCAGAAAGAAAAAGAUAGGAAUAUGACCAGAUGAUUCAUAGAAAUUGGCACAUUCUUUUAGUGAUCUAGAGAGCACAAGAAAACAAGCAACAGUAAAUUGAACUAGAAUACUACAUAAGAGCAUCCAAAGUUGUACCUUCCACAGGCUUAGUUUUACGAGCAUACAAUAGAUUCUCAUACACCCCCAUAUAAAUCUCAUCCAAGGAAUCUUCUUUCCGUCCUCGUCCAUGGACAAUAGGUUCCAAAGCCUAAAGAAGAUGAUAAGGAACAGUCAACAUCAUCUGGUCACUUUACCAUAAGAAAUACUAUCUGUACUUUGAGCUACUUCAUAUAAAUUUGACCAAAAGAGAAGGUCCUAAUAGCAUAGCAUGACUGAGUUGAGAACGCAUUCCAAGGAACUGCUACUCGUAGCAAGCACUGAAGUUUUUUAGUGAGUAAUCAAAUCAUUCUUUCUCAUAAAAGAACUUACAUGCACCCCCUGUCACCCUCCACCCACCAGUCAAACUAAAGACGGAAUAAUUUUCAAACUUUACCAAGUUCCUUUGGACAAUAACCAAAAAAAAAAAAAAAUUGUAUAGAAUUGGGGAAAAAAGUUUGACCUGUCACGAGAUUACGUUGUACCUGUAAACUAUGCUAAGCUGUAUGAAAUUAUUAAACAGAAGGUAGAAAAAACAAAGAAAAGAGAAAAGAGAAGAGGACAGAUGUACACCAUAGCGAAGACUUUGAUGGAGGUCUAUGAAUGUUUUCCCAUCGCCCUAUGAGGAGUCUGAUUAGAGUCCGACCAUACUGUGUUUCAGUAUAACAUUAUCAACCCCAUAAAUUUCAGUAUGUCGAGAUUAUGUUAACAACUAGAGAAAUCAUUCUUAUGAAGAUCCACUAUACGUGUCUUGUACCUUGUGUAAUUUAUAGCUCUAUAAUAAUGCCUAAAACUUCAUUUAUUCCAUAUCUUGUCAACAUUCAAAGCAGCAUACCUUUUACCCAAGAGAGUGAAACAGAAAUAUAAAAUUCAAACAUGCUUGUCAAAAGAACUAGUUGGGGUCGGAGGCGAGGACCAGUGAACCCAUCAAGUUCUAGUAUGCAACUUUUCCUAAUAACAAAGUGUUAAAAACUCUCAUGCUCCCAACAGAAGGGAUUUUAAUGGAAGUGGAGUGACCAAAGAAAGAUGAAUUCAAUUGCACACGAGCUAAUAGUGGAUUACACGGUCUCAGAGAACAUGAACCAGUACUCUCUCUGAGCAUCUUUCUAGCUUGCAAACUUUUCUUAUGACUUCCACAACACACUGCAAUAUCACAGCCAAGUCUUGUUUCACUGCAUACACUGUACAUAUUCAUAAGAUGUAAAUCCAUAUGGAUGAGAUAGCUUUUCAAAGGACACAAAAGACAAAACAAAAUUCACAGGGAAAAUCUGCAUGUGACAAUGAAAGCAUGCAAUAAUCAAACUCCAGUAGGUCAUUUAUGACAAACUUAAGGAACAAAAACUAGGCAUAAACAAUAAGAACUGCAACUAAAAGCAACAGUAUCUACAUGUACUAAAGUAGAGAAAGACUCACUUCAACUCUAGACAUGCCAUCCCCAAGAAAGCACAUGCAUUAUUCACAUGAGCAAUGUAGUAAGUGUCACACAAACCACAGUGGCUGCAAACCAGAAACAAAAACUACCAUCAGACAAAAAACUACUAUAAUGAUUACGAAAUAGUCACAAAAUAUACAAGAAAUUAAUUUAAAUAAGUAUGAAGAUGAGUGAUUAAAUGAUACUAACUUAUAAUCCUCAAAAACAUUGAAUUAGUAUAUAAAUAAUGUUAAUUAUUAUUUACCAAUUUCAAAAAAAAUGCUAAUUAAUAUAUAUGAUAUUCUUGUGAACGUCAAAACUUAUAUUUCAGUCUUCCAAACAAUACUUCAUCAUUCAAGCUCCUUUUUUUUCCAUUCUACAAAAUUUGACCCAACUUAGGACGAAUUGAUAUGGAAAGCUACGAUGCUUCAAAGACCCAAUGAAAUGCUUCCUCCAUUUCAAAUUGAAUACUUCAGGUUCUUUUUUAUACUUCAUGCCAAAUUAAUGCCCAAUCUCCCUCAUAUUUAUAGUUCUUUCACAUUUACUAUGAAAAUUGAACCAUUAUAGUUUCCGAAAAGGGAGAACUCUUCAAACACAUAUUAGUUUAAGACACUCUCUCCGUCCGGUAUUGUUUGUCAUGGUGUCUAUUCAUAGAGUCAAACUAUAAAAACUUUGACUAACAUUUUAAGGUGUAUUUUUUCAUCGUAUUAAUAUGCAAAAAAUUGCAAUUUAUAGUACUUUUCAUAUAGUUUUAAAAUAUCUAAUUAUUUUGUUUAAAAUAUCGAAUUAAUGUGAUUUAAUUUAACUUUGAAAAUUAGUCAAAUUGACUUUCAAAAAACACAACAUGACAAACAAUAUUGGACGGAGAGGGAGUGAUUCAUAAAUAGACACCUUAACUUUGCUUAACUAACAACUAAAUACUCCAACUUUAAGAAUGCACAUCUAGACGGUCUCCGAGACACCCGGCACUAUAUGUCUAGAUGAUCAUUUUGUACGUUGGGAGUGUUUAACUCACACAGCCAAGACCAGUUAAGAUGCACACUUUGAGUGUUCAGUUGCCAAUUGAGCCCAACCUAAGAUAUCUAUCUAUGUAUUUAUGUCAUAGUUUAAAGAUAACAAAUAAAAAUAACAACUUUUUCACUAGUCUAACUUACAAAAACUAAAAACUUCAAAAAAAAAAUACAUAGAAAAAUGAUCAAGCUACGCAAUUUACCUCCCAUUACAGCAUUAAAAGCUAAAAUUUCAAUUAUAUUAAGAAAAAAAAAAGCAGAAUUAUGAACCUGCAGUGGUCUUUAGCUGGAUAAGUCCCACCAGGAGGAAUAGGUCGAGAUUUUUUCCUCCAAUCUUCUCUAAUUUUCACUGAUUUCAGGUUUUGGUUUGCAUCUGUUGAGUAAUUCAAACAACAUCAACACACAAAGUUUCAAUUUUUUUUAAAAAAAAAACUCAUAGCAAAAGUUUGUCAUUUUUUGUAAAAAAAAGUUCCUCUAAGAGGAUUUUGUUCAGUGAAUGUAGAAAUGGAGAGAAACAAAACCUUGUUGUUGUGAAGAAGAUGAAACAGUGUAAAAUUUGAAGGGUAAAGUAGAGAUUUUUCCAGUAAGAAACGCCAUUGUUGCUCUGUGUAUCUGCACAAGUGUUUUGCGCCACAAAUAUAUAUCAAAUGAGAUUCUUUUAAGGGUGGAACCAAAACGGUGUCGUCCGGUAUUUAAUUAAUUUCUACUUUUUAUUUUUUUGGAUGAGUAAAAAAAGUGAAAUAUUAAAUAUUUAGAAAAUUAAGAAAUAAUUUUAAUUAUUUAUAAACAAUGAAUCGCUGAAAGUGAUUCGAACGAAUCCUUUUGGUCCUACCUAGCUUUGCUCCUGAAUAAGUACUCGAUAACAUAUUGUGUUGAAAUUUUGAUGAGAUAAACAACACAUACCAUAUCAUUUCACUGAAGUAAAAUCAUAUAGUCGUUCAUAUGAAUACUCAAAAUAGGGUGGCUUUUAAUUUUUGUUCGUCGGAUCAAUAGUCUUUGAAAAUACAAUCGUAAGGCAUAUGUUAUGUCAUACAAAACUUAUGCCUCUGUAGACAUAAGUUCAAUUUCAAAACAUUAUACCUUAAAAAGUUCAUAAAGUCACAAAUUAUAUCUUAUAAGGUAUAGACGUAAGUCCUACAUAACAUGUCGAUGGGAGUAUAAGUUCCAUUUUCAAAACUUGGAAGAUUAAACCUAGAGAAGUUCAUUACUCGCUAUAUCUUAUAAAUCAUAAGUCCCGUUUACAAAACCAGCAAAAUUGAGAAGUUCAUGAGUCACUAUAUCGGAAAAAAAGUGGUGGUUUAAUUGGAGCAGCCCAUCAGGCAUUAAUGGAACUUGGAAGGCACCGAUAACGAUAUAAAUCAUAAGUCCCGUUUACAAAACCAGCAAAAUUGAGAAGUUCAUGAGUCACUAUAUCGGAAAAAAAGUGGUGGUUUAAUUGGAGCAGCCCAUCAGGCAUUAAUGGAACUUGGAAGGCACCGGUCCGUUAUCCUUCCACUGCACAAAGCGGAAGUUUUUCGUUGCUCUGUGAAACCAGCCUCACGCGGUCCACCCCACUUUAGGAAUCUAGUAGCCCAUUCUUUCAAUUGGACCACAUGAUCCAACUCUGUGCUUGGAUAGGGCAGGCCAGAAAUUAGCCCACCAAGCCCAGCCAUCUGGGACAGCCCAAUAUUCCACCACCUUAACAUCCCCACUUGGGUUACAAGCCCACGUUACUAAGCUCGACAUACAA
rnacentral:lncRNA from 1 species